UGGAGGGGGCGUGCCAGUGGACCACAAGCCCACAGGCUGUAGCCACCCCCUAUGGCCGCGCCGCGCAGGCUUGUGGGGCCCACGUGGCACCACCGCCCCCAAACUCAGCUCUAUAUCUUCCGUUUCGCCUGAAAAAAAUCAGAGAGAAGGUUUCAUCGCGUUUUGCGAUACGGAGGCGCCGCCACAUCCUGUUCUUCAUCUGGAGGGCAGAUCUGGAGUCCGUUUCGGGCUCCGGAGAGGGGAAAUCGUCGCCAUCGUCAUCAUCAACCUUUCUCCAUCGACAAUUCCAUGAUGUUCUUCAUUGUUCGUGAGUAAUCUCAUCGUAGGCUUGCAGGACGGUGAUGAGUUGGAUGAGAUCUAUCAUGUAAUCGAGUUAAUUCUUGACGGGGAUUGAUCCCUAGUAUCCACUAUGUUCUAGAUUGAUGUUGCUACUACUUGGCUAUGCUUAAUGCUUGUCACUAGGGCCCGAGUGCCAUGAUUUCAGAUCUGAACCUAUUAUGUUGUCGCCAAUAUAUGUGUGUUUUAGAUCCUAUCUUGCAAGUUGUAGUCACCUACUAUGUGUUAUGACCCGGCAACCCCGGAGUGACAAUAGCUGGAACCACUCCCGGAGAUGACCAUAGUAUGAGGAGUUCAUGUAUUCACCACGUGUUAAUUCGUUGGUCCGGUUCUUUAUUAAAAGGAGAACCUUAAUAUCCCGUAGUUUCCAUUAGGACCCCGCUGCCACGGGAGGGUAGAUGUCAUGCAAGUUAUUUUCCCUAAGCAUGUAUGACUACAUACGGAAUACAUGCCUACAUUAGAUUGACGAACGGGAGCUAGUUACAUAUCUCCCCGUGUUAUAGCUGUUACAUGAUGAAUCACAUCCGUCAUAUUCAUCCAUCACCGACCCACUGCCUACGAGUCUUUUACUACAGGUUCUCGCUACGUUACUUUGUCUAGGCUUGUCCCUUGCUACAAAAGGGAUUGGGCCACUCUGUUGCUACUGCUGUUACUUUGCUGCUACUGUUGCUACUUCUGUUACUUUGUUACUGCUGCUGCUGCUGCUGUUCCUUGCUACUGUGUUGUUACUUGUUGCAAGACUUUUCUGGAGUCGUAGCCAGGAAAGCGUUCUUCUCAAGAAUAAUCCCCCGUCAACGUGCUGGCGCCAUUGGUACAACAGUUAGGAAUAGUCUACCAUCAACAGAUCGUUUCUGGCACUGUUGCUAUCAUACUACUUUGCUACUAAUACUUUGCUUGCAGACACUAAUCUUUCAGGUGUGGUUGAAUCUGACACAUUCAGCUGCUAAUACUUGAGAAUAGUAUUUCGCUUCCCAUCAUGCGAACCAACAAAUUUGGGUUGAAUACUCUACCCUCGAAAACUGCUGCGAUCCCAUACGCUUGUGAGACAUCAAGGCUUUUUCUGGCGCCGUUACCGGGGAGGCAGAGCUAUAUUCUCUGAGUCAAUUGGGAUUGACGUGUGCUGAUCACUAUGAGGAAUCCGAAAGAUCCAAGAACUAAAAUCCUACCUUUCACUACGAGGAGAGGUAAGGAACUGCCAUCUAGCUCUGCACUUGAUUCACCUUCAGUUUUGAGUAAGUUUGCGACUUCGUCUCCUGCUAGAAAUCUUGAUAUGUCGCCUGUGCUUGAUGAUGCUACUUCUGCUGCUCAUGAUGCUAUGCUUGAUACUAUGCCUGAUGAUGCUAUGCUUGAUACUAUGCCUGCUAUGCCUCAUACUGCUUUGCCACUUGGUGCAUUCCUUGAUGCACAUAUUGCUAGAGCUGCUCCUAGAUGUGAUGAUACUUCUGAAACUGCUGAUACUAUUGAAGUAGAACCUGCUACUAUGCCUGAAUUGCCUGUAAUGCCUGAUACGCGCUAUGUUAUGGAGGGAGAGAUAGCUGAGGACUUUCUUGCGUGUAAGGAUAGCUAUGAUGUUGAGAAACUUCUGCGCAAGUGGAAAGAAAAAUCUCUAAACGCUAGGAUGAAAUACGACCCGAAGUUUGCUACUUCGCCUAUCUUUGUGGCCGAUAAGGAUUAUGAAUUCUCUGUCAACCCUGAGUUAAUCACUCUGGUCGAAUCUGAUCCUUUUCACGGUUAUGAGUCUGAAACGGUUGUAGCCCAUCUUACCAAACUGCACGAUAUAGCCACCCUAUUCACUAGUGAGGAAAAGAUCCGCCACCACUAUAUGCUCAAGUUGUUUCCUUUCUCGCUAAAGGAUGAUGCUAAGACCUGGUUCACUUCCCUUGCUCUUGGAUGUGUGCGUAGCCCCCAGGAUAUGGUCUACUACUUCUCUGAAAAAUAUUUCCCUGCCCAUAAGAAGCAAGCUGCCUUGCAGGAAAUAUACAACUUUGCUCAAGCUGAAGAAGAGAGUCUCCCACAAGCUUGGGGGAGGCUUAUCCAGCUACUGAAUGCUUUGCCUGAUCACCCUCUUGAGAAGAAUGAAAUACUUAAUAUCUUCUAUAAUGGACUUACCGAUGCUUCAAAAGACCACCUAGAUAGUUGUGUCGGUAGUGUUUUUAGGGAACGAACCGUAGAACAAGCUGAGAUUCUACUGAAUAACAUCUUGUGCAAUGAGAAUGCUUGGACUAUUCCCGAACCACCUCCUAAGCCAACUCCAAAGAGAAGAGGUAUUCUAUUCCUCAGUCCUGAAGAUAUGCAAGAAGCCAAGAAAUCUAUGCGAGAGAAAGGCAUUAAAUCUGAAGAUGACAAAAAUCUACCACCUAUCGAAGAGAUCCAUGGUCUCGAUAACCCGAUACAGGUAGUAGAAGUAAAUUCUCUGCGUAGGUUUGAUGAGAGUGAUAUUCCUUUUGAUAAACCUGCUAGCUUAUGCAUGGAUGAAUUUGAUAACUUCGUUGCUAAACAACAAAGUAUCAAUGAUUAUGUUAGCAUACAAUUGGAAAAGAAUGCUCGUAUGCUUAGUCAUUUGAGUGCUUGUGUGGACAGAAAUGUCAAUGAUCUUAAACUUCUGAGUAAACAUGCCUCUAUGGUUACUACUCAGGUAGAACAAGUACUUAAAGCUCAGAAUGACUUGCUCAAUGAGUUGAAUGACAAUUCCGUCAGAGUUGUUACUAGAGGUGGUAGAAUGACCCAGGAACCUUUAUAUCCUGAGGGUCAUCCGAAGAGAGUUGAACAAGAUUCUGAAGGAGUUAGCACUGAUGCACCUAGUCAUCCUAGAAAGAAGAAGAAAGAUGAUAGGAACUUGCACGCUAGCAACCCUGCUACACCUGAGAGUCCAAACGAUGCCUCUGCUACUGCAACAAAAGACCUUCCAACGGCGCCAGAAAUAGGAGUGUUGCUUGAUACUCCUCAGCAACGGCACCAGGAAUCCUUCAGCUGUGGCUACGCCUUAAGGGACUUCCUAGGCAAGUAUGCAAAGGAUUUCCCCCGUAGCCUUGGAGCCUUGCGUUCGUGUUCCCUCGAAGCAGAAAGGGUGAUGUAGCGUAGCGGUGGUAAGUAUUUCCCUCAGUUUGAGAACCAAGGUAUCAAUCCGGCGGAAGAGUAUCUCAAAUCCUGCACAAACACAAAAACUUGCACCCAACGCUAUGAAGGGGUUCUCAAUCCCUUACAGAUUGUUUGCCAAGUGAGAACUGAAAGCAACAAAGUAACAAAGCAAAGUAAAAGCGUAGGUGUAAACGAUGGAUGUAAAUAGACCCGGGGACCGUAGUGUUUACUAGUGGCUUCUCUAAUGAAAGCAAGUAGGCGGUGGGUGAACAAAUUACUGUCGAGCAAUUGAUAGAACUGUGCAGAGUCGUGACGAUACCUAUGCAAUGAUUAUUUCUAUAGGCAUCACGUCCAAAACAAGUAGGCCGAUACUGUCUGCAUCUACUACUAUUACUCCACACGUCGACCGCUAUCCAGCAUGCAUCUAGUGUAAUAAGUCCAUAAGAACAGAGUGACGCCUUAAGCAAGAUGACAUGAUGUAGAGGGAUAAUCUCAAACCAAUGAUAAAAACCCAAUCUUUUUACCCUUCAUGGCAACUGCUUGACUGUGUGCCUUGCUGCCCCUACUGUCACUGGGAAAGGUCACCACAUGGCAGAACCCAAAACCAAGCACUUCUCCCAUUGCAAGAAUCAUAGAUCUAGUUGGCCAAACAAAACCCAAGACUCGGAGAGACUUACAAGGAUAUCAAAUCAUGCAUAUAAGAAAUCAGCAAAGACUCAAAUAUAUAUCAUAGAUAAUCUGAUCACAAGUACACAAUUCAUCGGAUCUCGACAAAACACACCGCCAAAGAAGAUUACAUCGGAUAGAUCUCCAUGAAGAUCAUGGAGAACUUUGUAUUGAAGAUCCAAGAGAGAGAAGAAGCCAUCUAGCUACUAAUUACGGACCCGUAGGUCUGAAGUGAACUACUCACGAGUCAUUGGAGGGGCGAUGAUGAUGAUGAAGAAGCCUCCACCUUCAAAGUCCCCUCCGGCAGGGCGCCGGGAAGGGUCUCCAGAUGAGAUCUCGCGGAAACGGAAGCUUGCGGCGGUGGAAAAGUAUUUUCGAGGCUCCCCCAAUUUUUUGCGGAAUAUUUGGGAAUUUAUAGGCCAAAGACCUAGGUCAGGGGGCGGCCAGGGAGGCCACAAGCCUGCCCACCGCGGCCUCCCCCCUGGUGGCGGAGUGGGGGCUUGUGGGCUCCCUGGAGCCCACCUGGCUUGGCCCAAAAGCCCCGUGGUCUUCUUCCGUUCGGGAAAAAAUCAUUUCGGGGUUUUUCUUCCGUUUGGACUCCGUUCCAAAAUCAGAUCUGAAAAGAGUAAAAAACACGGAAAAAACAGGAACUGGCACUUGGCACUGAAUUAAUAAGUUAGUCCCAAAAAAGAUAUAAAAGGUACAUAAAACAUACAAAGAAGACAAGAUAACAGUGUGAAACCAUCAAAAAUUAUAGAUACAUUUGAGACGUAUCAGCCUCUGUCUCUGAUGCUGAAACACAAUCUGGUGAUGAACAUGAGCCUAAUGAUAAUAUCAAUAGUGAUGUUCAUGAUGAUGCUCAACCUAGCAACGAAAAGGAUGUGGAGAUUGAACCUUUUGAUCUUGAUAACCCACAGCCUAAGACUAAGAGAUACGCUAAGAAUGACUUCACUACUAGGAAGCAUGGUAAAGAAAGGGAACCAUGGGUUUAGAAACCCAUGCCCUUUCCUCCCAAACCAUCCAAGAAAAAGGAUGCUGAGGAUUUUGAGCGCUUCGUUGAGAUGAUGAGACCUGUCUUUCUGCAAAUGCGUUUGACAGAUAUGCUCAAGAUGUCUCUGUAUGCUAAGUACAUGAAAGAUAUUGUGACUAAUAAGAGGAGGAUACCUGAGAUUUAGAUUUCCACCAUGCUUGCUAAUUACACCUUCAAGGGUGGAACUCCUAAGAAACUAGGUGAUCCCGGUGUGCCCACUAUACCUUGCUCCAUUAAAGGUAAGUACGUUAGAACUGCGUUGUGCGACCUUGAGCCGGUGUUAGUGUUAUGCCUCUCUCUCUUUAUCAUAGACUUGAACUCGAUAAGUUGACACCCACUGAAAUCUCUCUGCAAAUGGCCGACAAAUCAACUGAUUUCCCUAUCGGCAUUUGCGAGGAUGUGCCUGUUGUGAUUGCUAACACCACUAUCUUAACAGACUUUUUUAUCUUGGAUAUUCCUGAGGACGAUGCCAUGGCGGUCAUCCUCGGAAGACCCUUUUUAAACACUGCAGGGGCUGUUAUAGAUUGCAACAAAGGCAAUGUCACUUUCCAUGUCAACGGUAAUGAGCAUACGGUGCACUUUCCGAAGAAACAAUAUCGAGUACAUUACAUCAAUGCAAUCGGGAAAACUUUGUCGGUUCUUAUUGGGAGCUUUGAAUGCCCUAUUCCUCGUGUCAAGAUGAAGUAUGAUAUGCUUGUUGGGGAGAUACACAUCCCCAUUGAGGUGACCUAGUGACUAUUCGAAAAUUCUCCGUUCUCUUUUGCGAAUCAGAAAGGUUUCUCAAAGAGACUUGAUCAAACUCACUGACGGGUUUCUUUCGGUGACCAUGAGAUGGAUGAAUCGAGGAGUCAAAAACCUCUGUUCCAAACUUUCACUUUAGGUUGCUUAGAAGAAAAAUGAUAGGUUUAGUUUAGUUUUCCCUGUUUUCUGUUUUAGCGUCCCGUAGAAAAGUACCCCAAAAAUAAAAGUUCUCCGAACGCUGUGAAAAUCUAGUAUGAUUUUUUCUGGAAUAUUUGAAAAAUACUAAGACAAAGAGUUUGUCUGGGGGCCACACCAGUGGCCACAAGCCCUAGGGGCGCGGGCACCCCCUGGCCGCGCCACCCAGGCUUGUGGGGCCCACAGGCACCCCCUUCACUCAUUCUUGCUCUCAUCCGCUUCUCCUACCUCCAGAAAAAAUCGUUUCGCAGCUCAAACUCGUGUUCUUGCUCAUCUUGCUGGGAUUUUCGAUCUCUUUGCUCAAAUCACCGUUCUCCAAACUGUUUUGGGGAAAUUACUCCUUGGUAAGUGACUCCUCCAUUGGUCCAAUUAGUUUUUGCUCUAGUGCCUUAUACUCCGCGUAUUUUUGCUGCCUUGGUGACCAUGUUCUUGAGCUUUGCAUGCUGAUUCUAGCUGGUCCCAAGUAGUUUUGAUGCGUAAUAUGGCCUCUAGGCACUUGUGGGAGUAGUUGCUACGAGUUUAGUUGAGCCUUAUUCACUUUUCCUUAGAAUCACUAAAAAUUUCAGAAAUUUUCAGAGAUAGAAAAGGGAAAAGAUGAGGAGGUUCUUGAGAGGCUCGUCAAGCCGUGACCCCAAGGAUGAUGGGAGUGAGAAGAAUCCCAAGUAUUCGGUCCCUCGAGUCACAGAAGUUCAAGCGUGCGAGUGGCCAAGCGACGUAUUCUUACGCGCCGCUGGAAUUUAUGAGGACUUUUAUCACUUGGUGGAAAACGCAGGUCUUACCACCUUCGUUGAAGAUAAGUGUUCGCAAUACCUCCUCCUCACUAAUAUCUUCAUACAAAGCUUUAACUUCUAUCCGAGGAAGAAUCCUCCUAUGGUUGAGUUUAAACUUUAUGAUAUCCCCCAGCGCAUGUCACUCCAGGACUUUUGCAAUGUUUGCAAAUUACCUUACGUUGGGGAUAUUCAUGAACCUCGUCCACGAGACUUGGAAGCUUUUAUCGGUACAAUUGUUGUAGGAGAGGAGAGAGGGGUGUCUUGCGCUAGAGCUGCUAGCAUUGAUUUUCCCGUGCUUCAGUAUUUCUCAUUAUUUGUGAGAAAAUGUUUGAUUGGUCGUGGGAAAGCUGGGUCACUUAGUUCCCCAGAUCUUGCGGUCUUGCGCGAAGCCCUUUAUAACGAUAAAACUUAUAGCUUGGGCGCUAUAGUAGCUGAACGGUUGAACCUGAACCAUUCUAAAGGUGUUGUCAAUGGAGGUAUCUAUGCUACCCGUCUUGCCAGACACUUUGAGAUACCUAUUAGACUGGAGGAAGAAGAAGAGGUUCUUCUUCCCGAGAGAUAUCUAGAUUACGAUAGCAUGGUUCGCCAUGACUUUCUUGAUAGAGAUAUAAGUAGAAGGAUGAUUUAUAACCUCGUAUUUAGUCAGGGUACUCAUGAGACUAUUAUUUUGCCUACUCCUUCUUUGUUCAAUCUUCAUGCAGGCAGGUACACUAUUAUGCCCUCGGACAUCUACGCAUAUUGGGGCCUAGCCCAACCACAAGUGCCCGUGCCUGAGCCACCAGUCGAGUACCAGACGCCAGUUUAUCAGUGGGAGCCAGAGGAGCUCACACAGCAGUGGCAUCCACAGUCCACUCCGGAGUACCCCGGAGCUGGUUAUUUCCCUCCUUGGGAGUAGACCAAGUUAUGCCAAAAGCCUAAGCUUGGGGGAGUACAUGUUCUCACCGACUUUACAUUCUUGCUUAUGCUUUCACUUUGUUAGCCGGUGUUCACACUUUGCCACUGUAUCAUCCAUGCUAGUUUAUUUUCUUUUUCUCAUUUUCGUUUAGUGUGUCUGUCUAGUUUGAGAAAACCCAAAAAGAUUUUCUUUUUCUUCUUUUUGCUUGUUGGGAGCUUUCCCGUGUAGAUAGUUUUCUUUUUCUUUGGGUCAAGGUAGAAGAUAUUGGUUACAAUGUUUAGUGGCUUUUGCAUGCAUACCUGUUUAGCUUUCAAAAAGCCAUAUUACUUUGUCUUCUCCUUUCUGUUUGCCUGCAGAUUCCAGCUUUAGUCCAAUGCACGAGCACGCUUAUUAUUGUUCACAUCGUUCGAUCGUGCAAGUGAAAGGCAAUCAUGAUGAUAUAUGAUGAAGUGACUGAGCCUGGAAAAGCUGGUUUGAACUCGAUCUAUUUUGUAUUUGUAAAUAUGACUAGCUCAUCAUGCCUGAUUCAGCUUUGUUGUGAGAGAAACAUGUUUGCAAUGACAACUUAGAGAUCAUAGUUGCUUAUGCCAUGCUUAUUUAGCUAGGAGCUUAUAAUGGUUUGUCUUGGAUGCCCACAUGAAUGUUGAGAUGACUAUGAUGUAGUAUGAUAGGAUGGUAUCCUCCUUUGAAUGUUUCAAGUGGCUUGACUUGGCGCAUGUUCAUGCAUGUAGUUGAAAUAAAAUCAACAUAGCCUCUAUGAUGUUCAUGUUCAUGGUGAUUUAUGUCCUGCUCAUGCUUGCACUCAAUGUUAGUUAAUCUCAAUGCAUUUUGAUGACUGUUGUCGCUCUCUAGUUGGUCGCUUCCCAGUUUUCUGCUAGCCUUCACUUGUACUAAGCGAGAAUACUGCUUGUGCAUCCACUACCAUAAACCCAAAGUUGUGCCAUAUGAGUCCACCAUACCUACCUAUGUGCGGUAUCUACCUGUCGUUCCAAGUAAAUUUGCAUGUGCCACUCUCUAAACCUUCAAGAAAUAAUCUGUUUUGCAUGCCCGAACCGCUCAUGUGGUGACAGGGGGCUAUUGGUAUCUUCCAUGCUAGGCGUGUUAUCCUCGAUAUAUGUUUAUUCACUAUCAUUCACGAGAAAGGGGUCAGUAAUUGGAAUUCCCAGUUCCAUGCUCAAAUCGAAAAGAUAAUUGCAAACAAAACACCCCCAGGAUAGAUGUUGGUUUGGACGGUACCCGAGGAUUCGGCUAGCCGUGGAGUGUGAUUGAUUGGUGGUGGGGGAGUCAAAACUUUACUUUUCUGUUUGGGAACCGCCUAUAGCAUGUGUAGCGUGGAAGAUAUUGAGAACUCUUAGUCAUUGCGUUGACAAUGAAAGCAUGCCACCCAAAACUAUUACCUCUGUGAAGGGCCUGUCUAUUUAUGUUCCUGUUGAGUCAUCCUCCUCUUAUAAAAGCACCAAUUAGAGAGCACCUCUGUCAUUUUUAUGCUUUGCUUUUAACUGUGUUGAGUGUGAGUAUGACUGGAUCUUCAUUGCCUUGAAUUACAAUGUUUAGUCAGCCCUUGUUCUUUUAAGGUGCUCUGCAUUUAUGUUUUGCGGUCUCAGAAAGAGCUAGCGAGAUACCAUCUAUUCAUACUGCUUCAUGUUGUUUUGGUCGAAGUUUUGACAUUUGAGGCUUACUAUUAUUUGCUCGCUAGCUGAUUAUGCCAUUGAUAUGAGUUUACCGUGAGACCUAGAUGUCAUUUGCUUAUGUGGUUUGAUUGUGAUCUUGCUGAAAUUCUGGUUAUGAGUUAGACAUAGUUGCAACAACAAGAUCAAACAGAGUUCGUCAAAGUUUUUCUUUUGUCUCUCUCAGUUUGUCAACUGAGUUGCUUGAGGACAAGCAAGGUUUUAAUAUAGGGGGAGUUGAUACGUCUCCGUCGUAUCUACUUUUCCGAACUCUUUUGCCCUUGUUUUGGACUCUAACUUGCAUGAUUUGAAUGGAACUAACCCGGACUGACGCUGUUUUCAGCAGAAUUGCCAUGGUGUUGUUUUUGUGCAAAAAUAAAAGUUCUUAGAACGUCCUGAAAAUUUAUGGAGAUUUUUUAUGGAAUAAAAUAAAAUACCUGCGCAAAGAUCCACCGGAGGGGGCGUGCCAGUGGGCCACAAGCCCACAGGCCGCAGCCACCCCCUAUGGUUGUGCCGUGCAGGAUUGUGGGGCCCACGUGGCACCACCGCCCCCACACUCAGCUCUAUAUCUUCCGUUUCGCCUGGAAAAAAAUCAGAGAGAAGGUUUCAUCGCGUUUUGCGAUACGGAGGCGCCGCCACAUCCUGUUCUUCAUCUGGAGGGCAGAUCUGGAGUCCGUUUCGGGCUCCGGAGAGGGGAAAUCAUCGCCAUCGUCAUCAUCAACCUUUCUCCAUCGACAAUUCCAUGAUGCUCUUCACCGUUCGUGAGUAAUCUCGUCGUAGGCUUGCUGGACGGUGAUGAGUUGGAUGAGAUCUAUCAUGUAAUCGAGUUAGUUCUUGACGGGGAUUGAUCCCUAGUAUCCACUAUGUUCUAGAUUGAUGUUGCUACUACUUGGCUAUGCUUAAUGCUUGUCACUAGGGCCCGAGUGCCAUGAUUUCAGAUCUGAACCUAUUAUGUUGUCGCCAAUAUAUGUGUGUUUUAGAUCCUAUCUUGCAAGUUGUAGUCACCUACUAUGUGUUAUGACCCGGCAACCCCGGAGUGACAAUAGCGGGAACCGCUCCCGGAGAUGACCAUAGUAUGAGGAGUUCAUGUAUUCACCGUGUGUUAAUGCGUUGGUCCGGUUCUUUAUUAAAAGGAGAACCUUAAUAUCCUGGAGUUUCCAUUAGGACCCCGCUGCCACAUGAGGGGUGGACAAUUGAUGUCAUGCAACUUCUUUUCCCUAAGCACGUAUGACUACAUACGGAAUACAUGCCUACGUUAGAUUGACGAAUGGGAGCUAGUUACAUAUCUCUCCGUGUUAUAGCUGUUACAUGAUGAACCACAUCCGUCAUACUCAUCCAUCACCGAUCCACUGCCUACGAGUCUUUUACUACUGGUUCUCGCUACGUUACUUUGUUUAGGCUUGUCGCUUGCUACAAAAGGGAUUGGGCCACUCUGUUGCUACUGUUGUUACUUUGCUGCUACUGUUGCUACUGCUGUUACUUUGCUUAUGCUACUGCUGUUCCUUGCUACUUUGAUGUUACUUGUUGCAAGACUUUUCUCGAGCCGUAGCCGGGAAAGCAUUCUUCUCAAGAAUAAUCACCCGUCAACGUGCUGGCGCCAUUGACACAACAGUUAGGAAUAGUCUGCCGUCAACAGAUUGUUUCUGGCACUGUUGCUAUCAUACUACUUUGCUACUGAUACUUUGCUUGCAGACACUAAUCUUUCAGGUGUGGUUGAAUCUGACACAUUCAGCUGCUAAUACUUGGGAAUAUUCUUUCGCUUCCCGUCGUGCGAACCAACAAAUUUGGGUUGAACACUCUACCCUCGAAAACUGCUACGAUCACAUAUGCUUCUGGGACAUCAGGGGUCCACAUGGGUUUAUUGGAUGCGCAAUAAGGUAUAAUGGGCUAACAAAGUCAUCCAAUGAAAGCCCAUGAGGAAAAACUCGAAAAUCCAAAAGAGAUGGGAAAAUAAGGAAGGAGUCCUAAUCCAAGUAGGAUUGGAGGAUGACUCCUCCCUUCCCCACUUAGGCCAAGGCUUCCCCUCCCCUCCUCCUAUAUAUACUAGAGGUUUUAGGGUUUUUGAGACACAACUUUUCCACGUGCAACUCAAACCUAUACCAUGUAGUUUUUCCUCUAGAUCGGAUUUCUGCGGAGCUCGGGCGGAGCCCUGCAGGAGUAGAUCAUCACCACCACCGGCGCACCGUCACGUUGCCGGAGAACUCAUCUACUUCCCCGUCUCUCUUGCUGGAUCAAGAAGGCGAAGAUCGUCAUUGAGUUGUAUGUGUGCGGGACACUGAGGUGUCGUCCGUACGGCACUUGAUCGGGACGGAUCACGAGACGGAUCAUGGGACGGAUUGUGAAGACGUACCACUACAGCAACCGCGUUUAUUAACGCCUCCGCUUAGCGAUCUACAAGGGUAUGUGGAUCCGAUCUCCCUCUCGUAGAUGAACAUCACCAUGAUAGGUCUUCGUGUGCGUAGGAAAAUUUUGUUUCCCAUGCAACGUUCCCCAACAUCUCCAUCAUGGUGUCUCCAUGAAGUCGUCUUGCCAACUAUUACUUUGAUUACUAUGGCUAACGGUUAGCAAUAAAGUAAAGUAAUCACAUGGCGUUGCAUCUCAUACAAUAAAUUAAGACAACUCCUAUGGCUCCUGCUGGUUGUCAUACUCAUCUACAUGCAAGUCGUGAAUCCUAUUACAUGAACAUGAUCAAUCUCAUACAUCACAUAUAUAUCAUCACAUCCUUUUGGCCAAAUCACAUAACAUAUCAUACCCUGCAAAAACAAGUUAGACGUCGUCUAAUUGUUGUUGCAAGUUUUACGUGGCUGCUAUGGGUUUCUCGCAAGAACGUUUCUUACCUACGUGAUAGCCACAACGUAGAUAUGCCAAUGAUAUUUACCCUUCAUAAGGACCCUUUUCAUCGAAUCCAAUUUGAAUAAAGUGGGAGGGACAGGCACCCGCUAGCCACCUUAUGCAACAAGUGCAAGUCAGGCGGUGGAACCAGUCUCACGUAAGCGUAUGUGUAAAGUCGGUCCGGGCCGCUUCAUCGCACAAUACCGCCAAAAAAAGAUUGGACUAGUAACGGCAAGAAAUUAACAAAAUCAUCGCCCACAACUUUUGUGUUCUACUUGUGCAUAGAAUCUACGCAUAGAACCUGACUCGGAUGCCACUGAUGGGUAACAUAGUAGUAAUUCAAAAAAAAAUCCUACGUCAUACUAAGAUCUAUCUAGGAGAAACCAGCAACGAGAGAAGUUGUAGAGCAUAUUCAUACCUUUGAAUAUCGCUAAGCGGAAGCGUUACUAUGAAGGCGGUUGAUGGAGUCGUACUCGCAAAAAGAUUCCGUUCUAAGCGUCGAACAACAGUGCCUCCAUGUUCAACACACGUGCAACCCAGUGACGUUACCUUCACCUUGAUCCAGCAAGGAGAGAGGAGAAGUUAAGGGAGAGCUCCGGCAGCACGACGGUAUGGUGACGCUGGAGCUGCGUGGUACUCCGGCACGGCUUCACCACGCGCUACGGAGGAGGAGGAGGAGGAAGAGCAGUGUUGUGUCGAGGGAGGAAGAAACUUGUGUGUCUUGCAGCCCCAAACCCUUACAUAUAUAUAGGAGGAGGAGGAGGAGGGCCAGCCAUCCUAGGGUUUCCCCUAGGUGGUGCGGCGGCCAAUAGGAGGAGGGGCGGCGCCCUAGGGGGUGGCUUGCCACCCAAGGCAGCCACCAGGCCCUAGGGUUUGCUGCCCUAGGCGCCUUGGGGCCUUGGUGGGUGGCGCACCAGCCCAUCUAGGGGUUGGUUCCCAUCCACUUUUGGCCCACGUGGCCCUUCGGGCGUGGUGGACCCCGGAACCCUUCCCGGUGGUCCACGUACAAUACCGAUGAUCUCCGAACAUUUCCGGCGAUCAAAUCUCCGCUUCCUAUAUAUGAAUAUGUACCUCCGGACCAUUCCGGAGCUCCUCAUGACGUUCGGGAUCUCAUUCGGGACUCCGAACAACCUUCGGUAACCACAUACUAUUCCCAUUACAACUCUAGCGUCAUCGUACCUUAAGUGUGUAGACCCUACGGGUUCGGGAACCAUGCAGACAUGACUGAGACACCUCUCCGGUUAAUAACCAAUUGCGGGGUAUGGAUAUCCAUGUUGGAUCCCACAUGUUCCACGACGAUCUUAUCGGAUGAACCAUGUUGUCGGGGAUUCAAUCAAUCCUGUAUGCAAUUCCCUUUGUCUAUCGGUAUAUAACUUGCCCGAGAUUCGAUCGUCGGUAUCCCUAUACCUUGUUCAAUCUCGUUACCGGCAAGUCUCUUUACUCGUUCCGUAACACAUCAUCAUGUGGCUAACCCCUUAGUCACAUUGAGCUCAUUAUGAUGAUGCAUUACCGAGUGGGCCCAGAGAUACCUCUCCGUCACACGGAGCGACAAAUCCUAGUCUCGAUUCGUACCAACCCAACAAACACUUUCGGAGAUACCUAUAGUGCACCUUUAUAAUCACCCAGUUACGUUGUGAUGUUUCAUACACCCAAAGGACUCCUACGGUAUCCUGGAGUUGCACAAUCUCAUGGUCUAAGGAAAUGAUACUUGACAUUAGAAAAGCUUUAGCACACGAACAAUACGAUCUAGUGAUAUGCUUAGGAUUGGGUCUUGUCCAUCACAUCAUUCUCCUAAUGAUGUGAUCCCGUUAUCAAUGACAUCCAAUCUCCAUGAUCAGGAAACCAUGACCAUCUAUUGAUCAACGGGCUAGCCAAGUAGAGGCUCACUAGGGAUACACUGUGUUCUAUGUAUUCAUACAUGUAUUACAGUUUCCGGUUAAUACAAUUAUAGCAUGAAUAAUAGACAAUUAUGAUGAACUGGGAAAUAUAAUAAUAACCACUUUAUUGUUGCCUCUAGGGCAUAUUUCCAACAAACAUUUCCUGUUGUUUUGGUUCACUUUUCACCUACAUUGGUUAGUCAUGCAAGGAAGACUAUAAUAUAUGCAAAUGACAAGAGUGAAUGAAUUCAACAAAUGAUUGUCAAGGAUAUGAUAUUGUUGUCAUCUGCCUUCAUCUCCGAAGAAGGGGUUGUUGAUACUUGGCCAUGUCAAGAUUGAUUUUGAUGUGAGUUGUUUGCAAUCUUGUGGUGUGUAGUUCUUCCAAGUACCUCCAAAAGGGUUAGAUGCAAUACAAGGGAGCAUAGUUUUCCAAGAUAUAAUAUAGUCAUAUCAAUAACAUGAUGGAAUAGUCAAUCAAGCUCAUGCCCUUGUAUGCAUUCGAGUGAGUCUAGCUCAAGCUUGAAGCAUCAAUGAUGUUCAACUCACUCCUCAAAUGACAAAACACUUUCUCAUCAAGUGGUUUGGUAAAUAUAUCAGCUAAUUGUUUGUCAAUACGAACUUGCUUUUGAUCUAUAUCUCCUUUACCAACAUGAUCACGAAUGAAAUGAUGUCACACUUGAAUAUGUUUUGUUCGAGAAUGUUGCACACGAUUAUAGGCAAUUUAAUAGAACUUUCAUUGUCACAUAGCAAUAAAACUUUUCUAACAUGAAUGCCAUGAUCCUUAAUAUUUCGAGUCAUCCAUAGUAAUUGCGCACAACAUGAUCAUGCGACAAUGUAUUCCACUUCGGAAGUAGAUAAUCAUACCGAGUUUUGUUUCUUGGAUGAACAAGACACAAGAGAUCUCCUAGGAAAUUGAUAUGUACCAUAGGUGGAUUUUCUAUCUACCUUGUCUCUGGCAUAGUCCGAGUCAGAAUAGCCAACAAGAUUAAAAGAAGAUCCCUUGGGAUACCAUAUGCCAAAGUUUUGUGUAUGUAUCAGGUAUCUCACUAUUAUUUUCACAGUCAAUAGAUGACACUCUUUAGGUGCCGCUUGAUAUCGGGCACACAUGCAAACACUCAACAUGAUGCCAGGACGAGAGGCACAUAGAUAUAGCAAUGACCCAAUCAUUGAUCGAUAAACCUUUUGAUCAACUCAUUUGUCAUCCUUAGUGAGGUAAACAUGCCCACUAGUUGGCAUGGGGGUUCUUGUACCUUUGCACUAUUGCAUGUUGAACUUCUUGAUUAAGUCCUUGGUGUACUUUGUUUUAGAGAUAAACAUACCCUCUCUCGAUUGUCUGAUUUGCAAACCAAGGAAGAAUUUCAGCUCACUCAUCAUAGACAUCUCAUACUUCUCUCACAUCAACCUUCCAAAUUUCUCACUAAAAUGUGGCUUAGUAGAACCAAAGAUAAUAUCAUCCACAUAUAUUUGGCACACAAAUAGUUCUCCAUUAACUCUUUUAGUAAAUAAGGUUGUGUCAAUUUUACCAAUCUCAAAACCCUUUUCAAUGAGAAACUUUGUUAGGCAUUUGUACCAAGCUCUAGGGGCUUGUUUAAGACCAUAUAAAGCUUUAUGAAGUUUGUAAACAUGAUUAGGUUUCUUAGGGUUCACAAAGCUGGGAGGUUGUUUAACAUAAACUUCCUCCUCAAUUUCACCAGUUAGAAAAGCACUUUUGAUAUACAUUUGGUAAAGAGUAAUAUCAUGGUGAUUGGCAUAAGCGAGAAGAAUGUGAAUGGCUGCAAGUCUAGCAACGGGGGCAUACGGCUCACCAUAGUCCAUACCUUCGACUUGCGUGUAUCCUUGGGCUACGAGAUGUGUCUUGUUGUGUAUGACUUGUCCAUCUUCAUCUUGCUUGUUUCGAAACACCCAUCUUGUACCGAUAAUGUUGUGCUCUUCUUUGGGCUUCUCAACGAGUGUCCGCGCUUUGUUCCUCUCAAAGUUGUGUAGCUCUUCGUGCAUGGCAUUCACCCAAUCCAGGUCUUGAAGGGCUUCUUCAACCUUCAUAGGAUCAAUGCUAGAGAUGAAAGAAUAAUGCUCACAAAAGUUAGCUAAACAAGAUUUAGAGUGAGUUAUUCUCUUGGUUUUUAUGUCACCAUAGAUUUGAUUCAGCGGAUGAUAUAUGUCCACUCUUGCUCGAACUCAUGGUAGCUUCUUCUUGUUGGAUGGUGGAGCUUCUUCAUCAUCAUCGUCUUUCUCGUUGUUGUUGAUGAUGGCAUGUCCUUGAGGUUGUGGUGAGGGAGGUUGAGGUGGAUCAUCAUGAUGCACUUCUUCCUCUUCUUCAUCAUGUCGUGUACCGCUUGUGGAUGCCUCCAUGUCAUUUUGUGGUUCGCCUUGACGCGAAGUAGGGGGUUCCACUUGAGUUGAUGAAGUACUCUCCUUCACCUCCAUGGGACGAAUCUUGCUAAUAGAUAAAUCUUGGAUGGCUUCCGAAGGUUCCUUAUCUUCGACGUCAUUUGGCAAUUGAUCGAAUUGUGAACCAUUAGAUUCAUCAAACUUCACAUCUACCGUCUCUUCAACUUUUCGAGUGAAGUUGUUGUCGACAGUGUAAGUGUAAGAGUUUUAUCCGUAACCGAGUAGGAAACCUUCAUAAGAUUUAGGAGCAAAUUUAGAGAGACGAUGCUUAUGAAGAAUGUAACACUUAGAGACGAAUACCCGAAAGUAUCCAGCUUGGGGUUUGUUACCAGUGAGUAGCUCAUAUGUCGUUUUACCGAGAAGCUUGUGUAGGUAAAGUUGGUUUAUGGCAUGGCAAGCUAUUUCCACGGCUUCUGCCCAAAAGUGUCUUGGCGUCUUGUAUUCAUCAAGCAUCAUUCUGGCCAUCUCUAUGAGAGCCUGGUUCUUCCUCUCAACAACUCCAUUUUGUUGAGGUGUGUACGUCGCCGAGAACUCAUGUGAGAUACCCUCUUAAUCACGAAAAGUAUACACAUUAGUGUUCUUGAACUCCAUUCCUUUGUCACUCCGAUCCUUCUUGAUCUUCACUUCAAACUGAUUUUGAGCUUUUCGAGCGAAGUUCUUGAAGAUCUUUUGUACCUGCGACUUAUCAUCAAGAAAAAAAUACCCAUGUAAAUCUGGAAAAAUCAUCAACAAUGACUAAACCAUAAGAAUUUCCAUCAAGGCUCUUGUAAGCAUUGUGACCAAAGAGAUCCAUGUGAAGUAGCUCGAGUGGCCUUCUUUUAGUCAUGAUGUUCUUCACGGGAUGACUUCCACCGACUUGCUUUCCUGGUUAACAAGCACUAUAAAGUCUAUCUUUGUCAAAGAUAACAUCUUUAACAUCGAGAAUAUGAUCACCUUUGAUAAGUUUGUCAAGAUUAUGCACACCAACAUGUCCUAACUUUCUAUGCCACAGCCAAACUUUAGAAGAUUUAGCAACAAUACAUGUACGAGGUUUGGAUUUCUUAGUGAAAUCGACAAUGUAUAGAUCACCUCUAUGGAAAUCAGUAAAGACGAUGCUAUGAUUGUCGCUACGAAACAGUCGACAGUCAACUUUCGUAAAUAGCACAUUGAAACCAAAGUCUGCUAGUAUAGAUAUGGAAAGAAGAUUGUAGCCAAGGGAUUCAACAAGCAUGACAUUUUGAAUAGAGCUAUCAUAAGAUAAGGACACCUUACCAAGACGAAGUACCUUACCCUUGGAGUUAUCUCCAAAGGUAACAUACCUUCGAGGUCCACGGUUUGGUGUGAGCUCAUGGAACAUGUCUUUAUCUACGGUCAUGUGAUCGGUGCAUCCACUAUCAAGUAUCCACUCCUUUCCUCCGACCAUGUAGUUUCUAAGGUUCGCCAUAAGACUAAGGUUCCUCAUAGUCUUGUCAGACUCAAUAUCAAACUCCUCAUCCUCAUCGUAGUAGCCAUGCUCCACAUAGUCAUCAUCGGAUGAAAUUCCCUCAUCAUAGGAAACAAGAAUUUCAUCAGAAAUUUGACUAUCAAAAUGUUCAAAUUUAUGCAUGCAAAUGGCGUCAACAAUGAUAUUGUUAAUAGUGAUGACAUCUUCUUUAGCACGCAUGAGGCCAUGAAGCUCAAAUAGACAUUUAUCAAAGUUAGGAUCAUUUGGCUUCAUUUUGUGAAAGGCAAUGCAUUUGUGGAUAAUGAUAUCAAGAUUUUACAAGGAAUAAUUUGGAUAUAUUUCUUCUAAGUCUUUCGACAAAGUAUGAGCACACUCAAAGUUCUGCAUUUGAUUAAGCACAUUUCUUGGUAGUCCUCUAAUGAUUAGAUUAAUAGUGUUAAGAUUACCAAGCAUAUUAAUUUCAUCAUCAUGAGAAGGAUGUACGGGAUCAAUGGGAGGCGCAUAGGGAUAUUCAACAUACUUGUGCAAAUGGAAUUCAUCAAAUAUAUCAAGCAUUUCAUAUUUCCAUUGUCUAUAAUACCCACCAUUGAGAAUGGUCACUCUACAACUAAAAAUCCCCGAACUAGUCACAUUCAUCUUCCUCCAACGAUGAUUAAACCAAGGUUUUGGAGACCUUGCUCUCAUACCAGUUGUAGGAUCGAUAGAAGCCGUCUCUAGGGGUGAAUAGACUACUUGACAAGAUUGAAAUCCUAGACUUUUCCCAAUUUUAUGUUUGGCAAAUUUUAGCAAUUCUAACAAGUAGUAAGAAGUAGAGUUUAGGAGAUCAAACGCAAAGAGGUUGACACGACAUAUUUUGGCAUGGUUCCGAUAGGUGGCGCUAUCGUACGUCCAUGUUAGUGGAGACUUGAACCCACAGAGGGUAACAGUUGCGUGAGUCCACAGAGGGCUCCACCCACAAAGGGUCCAUGAACAAGCGGCCUUGUCUGUUCCACCACGGCUUCCAUCCAUGAAGGACUAGCCUCACUCACGGUAGAUCUUCACGAAGUAGGCGAUCUCAUUGCCCUUACAAACAUCUUGGUUCAACUCCACAACACGAAGUAGGAGGCUCCCAAGCGACACCUAACCAAUCUAGGAGGCAGUACCCUCCAAAAGGUAAUAGAUGCGGUAGAACGAUGAACUCCUUGCUCUUGUGCUUCUAAAGAUAGUAUCCUCAACACUCAAUCACUCUCCCAUAGAUUUGGCAUGGGUAGCAGAGAUUGAUUGGGUGGAAAGAAACUUGGGGAGGCUAGAGAUCAAGUUUCAAAUGAUUGGAUUCGAAUAUCCUGAUCUCAACACAUGAGUAGGUGUCUCUCUCUCAGAAAAAUGGAUCUGGCAUUGAAGUGUGUGUUGUGAAUGCUUCCUCUACGAAUGAGAGGUAGGUGGAGGGGUAUAUAUAGGCAGCCCCCAAAAUACAACCAUUACACCUAAAAUGACCAACUCGGUGACACCAAAGUUACAAACUCGAUGGUACCGACUUUCUCAAAAGGUAGCAACUUUUGAAUCUCGGUGGAACCGAUAUACACAACUCGGUAGAAUAGAAAAGGUGACUAACGGUCAGAUGAGACAACUCGGUGACACCGAUACUUAAACUCAGAAAUUCCGAUUUUGUGUACCGAGGCAACAGAAGGUUGGUCACCUAAACUUGGUAGCACCGAUGCAAAAUCGGUUGUACCAAAGUGGUAGGGUUUGGCUAGUUUUCUGUGUGGGAUGAAAAUGGUAGGGCCGAAUCUGGAAACUUGGUGGCACCGAUUUUGAAUAUUUGGCUUGGGAUAGAAGUGUUAUAUGGGAGAAUGACUGAGUAUUUUUGGGGGCUAUCUCUGAGCAGUUGAGAAACCAAUUCAUCUUAAUACAUCAUCCCCUUUUAAUAGUAUUGGCUCUCCAAUGGACUCAAAGUGAUUUCUCACAAAAGUAAAAUGUAGAGUCUUGUAUCUUGAAGCUUGAACCAAUCUUAUUCCUUCCUUGCAUCAAGGGGCUUAUCCUCACAAUCCUUUGGACAAUCCUCUCUAUGGACUAUUCCUGAAAUAUACUAGGUGAAAGUGUUAGUCCAAGAGACAAUGUAUGUUGUCAUGAAUUAUCAAAACCACCAAGGGAGCAUAUGUGCUUUCAGAAAGUACCAUGAUGUCGUCUAGAGGGGGUGAAUAGGCGUUUUAAAAUAUUUUUACGAAUUUGGCUAUAUCCUAAUGUGGAAAUAAAUUAAGCAGAUAUGCUUCAGGCACAAAUCCUAAAUAUAGCAGCGUCAACUAAGUGCACCAAGAACUUAUUCUGAUAAUAUGAGCACGACAAGGAUACUAACAAGCACAAGUAAGUUACACAAACUUACUUGAGCAAUAACACAAUAUAUGGAAGUGUAUGACACAAGUAAGCAAUUCACACUAAACACAAGAUAUAUCAAUAGUAUCAAGUAUGAAUUGCGGGAUAUAAAGCAUAUGCCUAAAUAAUUAAUCUUUACAAGGAAAUAGCCAACACAAUAUAAUGAUGACAAUAAUAUAUAGUGAAUGUACACUCAAUUAUCCAAAGUAAACCGCAAGUAAGGAGUUAGGGUUAAGGAUAACCAAAGUCAUAGAGACGAGGAUGUAUCCCGAUGUUCACUUCCUUGGAGGGAAACUAGUCACCAUUAGAGAGGUGGAUGUAACCACGAAAGCACACCAACGCCAUGAAGGAUCACCCUAUUCUCCUUGAGACAAAACCACGAAGGCGUUGCUCAACCACUAGUGGUAGACCUUGGGGUGGUCUCCAAACACUCACUAAAUUUUCGGGCGUAAUCAUGAUAGUUUGAUUCCUCUCCAAAGAACUCCUACUGCCUAGGACUCUCCAACCUCCAAGAGUAACAAGAUCAAGGGAAACGCUCAAAACUUGCUCAAAUCACGAAUUCCUUUGGUUGAGAGGAGGGGACAGAGACGAUUUAUCUUUUGAUUGGAGCAACACUCAAGAAUCCUCCCAAAUGCACUCGGGAUCUAGGGUUUGAUGUAAGAACAAGAGAGUGAUAGAAAUACUGUUCUUGGGGAUCUUUUCAAUGUGUUUGACCCCCCCUCACUCGGAGUGGGAGAAGGGUAUAUAUAAUAGUAGUGGAUAUGGUCGUUGGAGAUCACUUAAGUUGCGUAGUCUCCGGACGUCCGAACCGAAAACAAGGACCAGACAUCCGAGAGAUCGUCGGUCACCCGGACACUGGAGAGAGGAGGUUGUAAGCACAGUAGCAGAGGAAACAUGGGAAACCCGGAUCGGAAGUCCGGAGAACGUCGGAUGCCCACUGCCACAGUCGUCCGGAGAGGACUGGGCAUCCAUCAAUUUGGUGUUGAUGUGGUGGCACACAAACUCCGGUCACGUACGAACGUCCGGAGGUGAGUUGUCCAGACAAACCGGAAAUCCAAAGAUUUUGCACUAGUGUUGGGGCACCGGAACCCCGGAGAACACCGGACAUCCGGUGAGCUAUGAUUUUUUGGUUGUCUGGAGGUCGCAGGACGUCCUAACAAGGCAGGGGCCAAACAUCAUAGCCAAAGGGAAAAUCUAUACCAUGAAAUUUUCGUGGGUUUUUGAGCAAGUCUUUUGCGAGAACCGGUGAUCCCCUCUUAAUAGUGGGGGAUCCCUAUAAUUGAAGAAUUGUAAGAGAGCUACACUACAUAGCUAUCAUGAAUCCACUCUUGAGUGUAUAUGUUUCUUCCGUGGUCAUCACUCCACACCACUUAUGUUAAAGGAAUUAAUACCUUUGACUCAAUCCUUUCACUUGAGCUUGAUGUUAUUGUUUAUUAUUGGCUCAAGUUGAAGGUAAGACAUUGGUGAAGUCUUCAAGUAGCUCUCCCAUACACAUAUGGGAAGCCUUGAUUUGUAUUCAUCUUCACUUGUCUAUAAUGUGAACAUCCACAAGCUUCAAGCAUCUAAUCCUUCAGGAUGGUUAUCUUGAACUUGCCCUUGUCAGCCAUGAUCAUGAACACUUGAUGUCAUCCUCUCAUGGCCACUUGUAAUCUCUCUCUUGAUGCGAGCACAUGAGAAUAAGCUAACCCUCAUAAACAUAGACAACAAAUAGUAUGGGUUAGUACACAAUGUCCAAAUGACAAUUACUAACCAUACCACAAGAUCUCAUGUGGUACAUCAUUUGCACUUGUGUGAUGACCAGCUUUGAGUUAAAUCUUUGAUCAUCAACUUUGUAAACAUUUUUCUUUGAUCCAUGAUUAAUCUUGAUGUCUUGAAGGCCCUAUUGAUUUCUUCACGAUGCUUCAUUGUUUCAAGAUAUGAUUACCAAUAUAUCAAUACACCAUGACCAUAUCAAGUUUCCCCAUGAAUCUCAUAUUGGCUAUAACUUGCUCGUCUUCAUGAUCCAACAUAGUAUCUUGAGAGGAAGAAUGAAUUUUUUACUUGAAUUACUUGUUUGAAGACAUAAUAAUCCAUGACUAAACAUAUGAGCUCAUCAUGAUUUUAUUUUUGAGGCAUAUGUAGAAUUCUUCUCUUUAACUAUUUUCUCAAGAUUUUGAUCAUAUCGUGUUCUAUUCAAUCACUGAGCUCAUCCUUGACGCAUGCACAACAAUAUGUAUAUGACAUUCAUUUCGCAUUCAUUCGAUCUCCUUCUUGCGUCAUCAUGGAACAAAGAUCCAAUAUUCUUCAUGCAUUGCAAAUGAAACUUUACUUUGAAUGUAUAACUUAAUGCAAACAUUAGUCCAUUACGAUUGUCAUCAGUUACCAAAACCACACAUGGGGACUACAUGCACUUUCAACAACACAUAUGGAUGUUGUCGUCACUGGCAUGAAGCACAACUUUUGUCCAGAGAUUCCCUACACACCUAUGUAGGGGACAUCGUGUACAUCACAUCUACACCAUCAGAUCUAGAAACACGCUAACCAUAAAUAGUCGCCCUCAACACUGAGGCAAGCCAAUCACUAUAACCCUAAUUUUGUUGUCCUCGACACCGAGGCAACCCUAUAAUCACCCUAACCAUAAUUAGUUAUCCUAGGCACUAAGGCAACCCUAUAAUCUUUGAUUCAUUCAUCAGCAAUUGACAGACGCAACCCUAGAAUAACUAAUUCAUUCAUCAACAACUGACAGAGGCAAGCCUACACUACUAGGGAAAAGCCUCGAAGUAGCGCGGGUUAAAGAGAUAGUAAUGGUGUGGGUACCCGCGCUACUACUAGGGUGCUAUAGCUAACUGAAAGUAGUAGUGCGGGUGCCACACAUGCUACUACUAACUAUCUGUAGCGUGUGUCUAUGACCCAUGCUACUUCUAUUAAUUUUGAAAACCAAAAGAAAUCUUGAUCCCGUGCGUGCUAUCAAUGGUGUCCUGGUUCGAUCCAGUGACGGUAGGGGUCGUCGAAGGCGCGGAUGGGCAGCGAGAGAUCAGAUGUGGUGACGACUGUUGGAGAGGGGCCGGAUCCUGGGCAGAGCAUGAUGAUGGUGUGGGGAUCCUCUUUGCGGCCAAGGGAGAGAGCUUCUUGUCAUCCAUGUUGAUGACCUACACAGGCAUGAACAUGAGGGUGAGUAAAACCAGAGGGAUAGAGAGGGGGAAAGUGAGACGAGGGAGAGAGGAAGGAGGUGGAGGGAGCAUCGGGGUUGGUCGUCAGUGGGGAGGUGCUCUGUCGUGGUGGCAUGGAGGCGCGGGGGAAGAUCGGCGACCUCCUAGACACCAGCGACCCGAGGCAUUAGCCUUGUUAGGCGCCAUGGAGGAGGAGGUGUGAUUGGGCAGGAGCGCCAUGGGAGAGCCUAGGGAGAGAGGGGUAGAGUGACAGGAGAUAGGAGGGAUUCAGGGGAGGAUAUGGGGACUUCAGGGCUAUUUACCUACCUUGUACUAAGUUGUAGUGAGGGGUAUACACCCCUCGCUACUACUAUCAACUUAGUAGUAGCGCGGGUUUAUACCCCUCGCUACUACUAUGGCCUGUCCCGAGAGGCACGGUAGAGACCACUUAAUAGUAGCGAGGGGUAAACCCCUCGCUACUACUAUGGCCUAUCCUGAGAGGCACGAUAGAGACAACUUAGUAGUAGCGAGGGGAAUAAACCCAUCGCUACUACUAUCAACUUGCUAGUAGCAUUGGUUUAUACCCCUCGCUACUACUAAUUAACACUAGCGCGACCCAUUUACCCCUCGCUACUACUAAGCAUAUAUCUAUAAGGUAUUUCAUAGUAGUGCUAGAUCAUCAAUUCAUUUACCAAAAACCCAUAAUCAACAAUUCGAUGAUCCAUUGACAACUGCAUUAAUGUCGCAACCAAGCCGGUAACGUUUGUGAGACGUGAGUCGUUACCCACGUGUCAUUUAAGUAUAUAACCCUUGUAGGCGGUCCCCACAUUAAUUCAUGCAUCAAAUUCCUAAGCGCGCCUUUAGUGGUUUUUGUUUGAUCAUUACGCGUGGGCUCGUACUUUUUCCUAAAAAGGGAAACUGAUGUUUUCUCUGAUUUCAGCCACGGUUGUGGUGAUUUUAUGCUAAUUACUAUACAAAAGAUGGCCUUGCCAUUUUUUGUCGUAUGGACAUGAUUCAACAUUCCUACUUAUGGGUGAUAAAAGUGCGAUAAGUCACAAAUUUAUUCUUCACCUCUUUGAAACAGUGUGUUAUGAAAAUUAAUUUUCUAUAAGGCAGUGAUUUUUGUUUUAGGUUUUCAUACAUUUCAUAUGAUAUAUACUCCAUUCCAUAAUACUAAUCCAUUCCAAAAUACUUAAUGUUCUAGAUUUUCCAUAGGUCAAAUUUGCCUAAAUUUGACCAACUCUAUAAAAACAUGUGAAGAUCUACAACAUCGAACACAUAACGAAAAUAUACUACUUCAUAUAAAGAAACUAAUGAUACUACUUUGGCGUUCUAUAAUAAGUAUGUUUUUCUGUAGUUUUGGUCAAAUUUAAACAUGUUUGAGUUGAGACAAAUCCAGAACUUCAAUUAUUUUGAAACGGAGGUAGUACAACACGGUCAUCACAUGCAAAAAAGGGGUGUUACCCUACAAAUGUAUGGGCAUUCCCAUUUAACAAAGUGACUAGAUUAUUCUACUGCUUGGUAAGAUGAUAUCCUUUGAGGCAAGCUGAUAAUUCAACUCUUCUUCGAGAAGUUGUUGGACUUCCAAAGCAAAGGACUCACCUUUAGGCUCAAGUUAUCAACAGUUUCUAUGGACAUAAAAGAUUACACAGUCUGUUCAACCGGUAUGGGCCCAAGCCAAUCAAGCUUUAUCACUUAGGGCCCAAGCCCAUGUGGGCGUGCUGACCUAGAAGGGGGCAUCAAGUCCUCCCAUUCCCAAGAGAGCCACCACACACACGCGCCCAAAAAGCCUAUGGAUGGGGUGAGCCCGCGAUUCGACAUGGUAUCACACGCAUGCGAGGUGCUCGGGGCGACAACGACGGUGGCCUAGUCGACAGUGGAUAGGGUGAGCCCGCAUAUGGAUGGUCAUGGUGGUUUGGGCACGCACGCAUGUGUGGCUGAGCGUCACGACGGCUAGCAGGGCGCUGUGAGAGGAGUUGCGCGGAUGACUGCGACUAGUUGAUUUCGGCGAGAUGGAGGCAGCGAGAUUUGUAGGAGAGGAAAGAAUAAAGGAGUUGUUGGGCUGCACCAAUGGAGAGAAUAAGGGUCCUACUGAUGCUGCUCGUGCUUGAGUACUGCUGUUGGAGCAGAGGAGGUGUGGCUGGUUGCGGUUGCUGAUUGAUGCAAAAUGGUAAAGGAAGGAGAGGUGACAAACUGUUGUUGUUUGUAUAGGAGAGGAAGGUCAUGCUAGAAGGAAGGUUGUGGAGGUUGCUCAUUGCUUCUUGUUGCUUGGUGCUUGUUGUGCUGCGCUGAAUUGCUACUGUUGCCUUGUUGUGUCUAGGAGGAAGAAGGGGUUGUUGUUUGGAGAGGAAGAAGUGUUCGUGUUGUGUUGCUGUUGUUUGUUGAAGGUGAAGGGGGCAACUACUAGAGUUGCUACUGAGUUGUUGGUUUUGCUGCUGCUGAAAGUGAAUGAGGUGUUUUGUGUUGGAGUUGUUGUUGUUCAUUGUAGAGGAGAAGGACUUGAGGGGGAGAUCAUCAUGCUCAAGGAGAUGUUCUUCCUGAUGGAGCAGGCGGUCAACAAGGGAUGUCGUCUUGUGACCGCCGAGGCGCAUUUUGCAUGAGACGAUGGUGUUGCUGGCAGCGCCAAGAAAGUUGUUGUUCUCGAGGAGAUGGGUGAUACAAUAGUCGCGGUUGGUACUCAUCAUGCAGUCAAGGAGUAUCUAGGGAAUGAUGACAUGAUAAGGGGUUAUGUCGAGCCAGAGAAGAAUGGUGAGGACGGUGUAGAGACGACCAGUUCAGGGUAAGAGAAGGAGUACAUCGUGACUGUAGAAGAGGUUGAGAGGAUUAAGCAGGAAUUUGAAAGCCUCAAGAGAAAGGUGGAGGAAAUUCAAGCUAACAAGGAAACAACCGAGAGGUGACACAUGAGAAGGAUGCUUAGACAGUUAAGUUGAGGGCUGAGUUUGAAGGAGCUUCAUGCUUUCAUAUCACAACUCCAAACUACAUGCUUGAAUGCUCAUUGUGGAGACUUUGCUCAUUGGACAUCUACUGAUGAAGAUAAUCCAGAAAAGGAAUCUAUUGUUGCCAAUGAGAAUGGUCUAGAAUGGGUUCUAGACUCUCGAGCAUCUAGGCAUGUUGUGAGCAAAUCAUGCAUGUUCAAGUCUUACAAUAAGCAUCCUCCUUCUCACAUGGGCACUAUACAAAUUGUUGAUGGCACAAAACAACUUGUCAUUGGGUUUGGUACACUAAAGUGCACUCCGACCAUCUCCCUAUCCUUGGUUUUACAUGUUCCAUCUUUUCAUGUCAAUUUGGUUUCUUUCAAUGCUCUCAUUGAUCAAAUAUACUGUCAUAUGAUCCUUAACAAAUUCGGCUGCAAGAUUCAGGGGCGACAAACAAUGCACACAGCCAGGACUAGCACCGGUCGUAGGGGGCUCUGGUAUGUGGAUCAGGGGGUGCAACCAUACUUGGUUUGUGUUGCGAUCAUGGAGGACAAGGAGAAGCAGGCGAUGAUCCAUCACUAUAGGAUGGAACAUGUCUCGUUUGGUAAGAUGAGUAGAAUAUUUUCGGAUGUUAUGUGUGGAAUAGGCAAGGGCAAGAUGACAUGUGAUGCUUGCGAAUGUGCAAAACACACAAGAGCUACAUAUGUGAGUAAGGGGCUUAGGAGCAUAUCUCCUUUUAUGCUCAUUCAUUGGAUGCACGGAAGAACCUAGUCGUGUCAAUGAAUGGAAUGGAGCACUUUGUUACCUUUAUUGACUGUUAUACUCGUAUGACUUGGAUUUAUUUAAUGCGUCACAAGGAUUACGUGUUCAACUGUUUCCAGUAUUUUCAUGCCUUGGUAAAGAACCAGUUUAAGGUGAAGGUGAUCAGGACUAACAAUGGCACAGAGUAUGUGAACAAAACCUUUGGAGCCUUCUUGUUUGACCAAGGUUUUUUUCAUCAAAAUUCUUGUUCGGGCACCCCCCCCCCUAGAAUGGAGUGGCAGAAAGGAAGAAUCAACAUGUUCUUGAGAUUGCUCGGUCGUUGAUGUUUACCAUGAAUGUGCCCAAGUUCUUGUGGAGUGAAGCAGCUAUGGAAGCCACAUACGUGAUCAACCGUACGCCUUCAAGGAUACUCGGCAUGAAAUCACCAUGUGAAAUCCUAUUUGGAGAAAAUAAGUUUGUUUUUCUCCAAGGUUGUUUGGAAGUACAUGCUUUGUUCGUGAUCACCGGCCUUCUGUUGGGAAGCUUGAUCCGCUGGCAGUGAAGUGUGUUUUUCUGGGCUAUGCUUCGAGUCAGCAGGGGUACAAAUGUUGGUGUCCCUCCGACAAACACCGAUCUAUAAGUAUGGUGUCACUUUCAGGGAGUGAGAGCCAUUCUAUGGUGGAUCUACAUACCUAAGUAUGUUGUUUGCAGAGCAUGACCACUUGCACUCUGUGCAGGAUGGUCAAGAGGGGAGAAGGGUGUAUCUCAUUCUCAAGAUGAUUCUGUGGGCACAAACACUAAUGAGGAUGUACAUGUUCAAGUCCAGCCAAUUGUGGGUACAAUUCCGGUUGGUAUUCUCACUGAUGGUGAUGUGCAGGUCCAGGUUCACGCAAUAGUGGGUUCUGUUGGGGAAUGUAGUAAUAAUUCAAAAAAAAAUCCUACAUCACACCAAGAUCAAACUAGGAGAAACCAGCAACGAGAGAGAAAGAGCAUCUUCGUAUUGUUGAAGAUCGCAAAGCAGAAGCAUUACUAUGAACGUGGUCGAUGGAGUCAUACUCGCGGCGAUCCGAUCCAAACACCGAUCGUUCGGUCUCUCCGCGUUCAACACACCUAUAGCCCGAGGACGUAUCCUCCUUCUUGAUCCAGCAAGAGUGAAGGAGAAGUUGAGGGACAGCUCCGGCAGCACGACGGCAUGGUCUCGAUGGAGCUUGUGGUUCCCGGCAGGGCUUCGCCAAGCACCACGGAGGAGGAGAGGUGGAGAGGUAGGGCUGCGCCAAGGGGUGGUGAUCAAGGUGUGUGCAGCCCUCCCAAAACCCUCUUUAUUUCUAGGAGGGAGGGAGAGGGAGACGGCCACCCUAGGGUUCCCCCUAGGAGGGGCGGCGUGUAACGCCCCGGACACACCCGCCGGCGGUCGAACUACUCCAAGCUGAGCACGCUUAACCUGAGAGUUCUGUUCGAAUGGGCUCCCGAAAAAGAAGGAAUUCCUUAUUGAUAUGAGUAGUCUAUCAUCCCAAAUAUGCCAGGCUAUCACACGGCGGCAGCCCUGUGAGGAGAGAGCGGCGGCGCCGUAGGGGUGGGUUGCCACCCAAGGCGGUGGGUGGUAGCCCCAUGCCCUAGGGUUUACCCCUAGGCCCCUUGGUUCCCUUCCACUUUAGGCCCGUGCAGCCCUCCGAGACAGGUGGACCCUCCCGGUGGACCCCUAGUAUCCUUUUGGUGGUCCCAGUACAAUACCGAUAAACCCCGAAACCUUUCCGGUGACCGAAACUGGACUUCCCAUAUAUAAAUAUUUACCUAUGGACCAUUCCGGAACUCCUCGUGACGUCUGGGAUCUCAUCCGGGACUCCUAACAACCUUAGGUAACCACACAUACAAUUCCCAUUACAACUCUAGCGUCACCGCACCUUAAGUGUGUAGACCCUACGGGUUCAGGAACCAUGGAGACAUGACUGAGACAUAUCUUCGGCCAAUAACCCAUAGCGGGAUCUGGAUACCCAUGUUGGAUCCCACGUGUUCCACGAUAAUCGCAUCGGAUGAACCACGAUGUCGAGGAUUCACUCAAUCAUGUAUGCAAUUCCCUUUGUCUACCGGUAUGAUACUUGCCCGAGAUUCGAUCGUCGGUAUCCAUAUACCUUGUUCAAUCUCAUUACCGGCAAGUCUCUUUACUCGUUCGAUAACGCAUGAUCCUGUGGCUAACUCCUUAGUCACAUUGAGCUCAUUAUGAUGAUGCAUUACCGAGUGGGCCCAAAGAUACCUCUCCGUCACACGAAGCGACAAAUCCCAGUCUCGAUUCAUACCAACCCAACAGACACUUUCCGAGAUACAUGUAGUGUGACUUUAUAAUCACCCAGUUACGUUGUGACGUUUGAUACACCCAAAGCACUCCUACAGUAUCCGUGAGUUGCACAAUCUCAUGGUUUAUGGAAAUGAUACUCAACAUUAUAAAAGCUCUAGCAGACGAACUACACGAUCUUGUGCUAUGCUUAGGAUUAGGUCUUGUCCAUCACAUCAUUCUCCUAAUGAUGUGAUCCUGUUAUCAAUGACAUCUAAUGUCCAUGGCCAGGAAACCAUGACCAUCUAUUGAUCAACGAGCUAGCCAAUUACUAGAGGCUCACUAGGGACAUGUUGUGGUCUAUGUAUUCACACAUGUAUUACGGUUUCCGGUUAUUAUAAUUAUAGCAUGAACAAUGGACAAUUAUCAUGAACAAGGAAAUAUAAUAGUAACCAUUUUAUUAUUGCCUCUAGGGCAUACUUCCAACAGGUUCCACUCAGAUUAGUAAUCUCUGGCUCCCUGUUUGAGAACGGUGGCAGGAGAUUCCCCUAGUGUACUCUCGACGACAGCCACAAGUGCAUAGCUCAUUUGACACACGUGUGAUAUAUUCACGGCGGCAGCCACAAGUGGAGAGGGAACAGUAGGGCAGUGAUGCAAGCACAUCUGACACAGUGUAACCGCCCACUGCAUUGCAAAAGGGGACACGUGAAGCGGCACAGAAGGCUUUACCACGAGACAUUUUUAUGAUCAUGACAUUGGAAAUUUUGUGUCGUAUGAGGCCUUUUAUCCUUCCUAUAGAGCGUUUGUUGCCUCUCUUCAAAUUGUGUCAAUCCAAAAGGGUUGGAAGGCCACAAAGCAAGAUGUGAAGUGGCAUGAAGCGACGAUAGAAGAAUUGGAAACAUUGGGUGAAAAUAAGACGUGGGUGCUAACCACAUUGCCAACAGAAAAGAAAGUAGCGAGUUGUGAGUGGAUGUAUACAAUGAAGAAAAAUCAUGAGUGUAAGGUGGAACGGUAUAAGGCCACGUUGAUCGCCAGAGGAUGUAGUCAAACUAAUAGAGUUGACUAUGACAAGAGGUUUGCUCCUGUGGCAAACAUGAAAACAGUAAGGAUAUUGGUUUCCUGUACUGCAACCUUUUGGUGGAAGUUGCAUCAACUAGAUGUCAAGAAUGCCUUCUUGCAUGGUGAGUUGCAGGAAGAAGUGUACAUGGAGAUACCAUCAGGUUUUGGUACUCUAGAGACCACUGGAAAGGUAUGCAGACUGAAGAAAUCCUUGUACAGAUUGAAGCAAUCACCGAGGGCAUGGUUUGAUAGAUUCAGGCGUGUUGUUCGUGGUAUGGGGUAUGCUUAGUGUAACGUUGACCACACGAUGUUCUACACACAGUCCCAUUGGAAGAUCAUCAUUCUUGCAGUUUAUGUGAAUGACAUUAUCAUCACUAGAGAUGAUAAGGAGGACAUAGAGAGAUUGAAGGAGUGUCUGAGCGAGGAGUUUGAGGUAAAGUAUUUGGGUAACCUAAAAUACUUCCUUGGCAUUGAAGUGGUCUGGACAGAGAAGGGAAUAUCUUUGUGCCAACGUAAAUACACCUUAGAUCUUUGAGUGACAUGGGUGUGAUGGGAUGUCGUGCAACCCCUACUCUGGUUGAACAAAAUCACCAAGUGAUGUCACAAUUAGAAGAGUUGGUGAACAAGGAAGAUUACCAUAAACUGUUGGGAGGUUAUUGUACUUGUAUCAUACCAGGCCUGACAUUACGUAUGUCGUGGGUGUGGUGAGCAAAUACAUGCAUGAAUCAAGGAGUGAGCAUCUUGAUAUUGUGCCCAAAAUUAUGAGAUACUUUAAGGGGACUCCGGGUAAAGGGUUGUGGUUUGUGAAGAGUGGACAUCUUGAGGUGGAUGGCUAUAGUGACUCAGUUGUCAAGAUUAUAGAAGAUCAACUUCUGGCUACUUUGUGUUUGUGGGAGGAAAUUUGGUGUCAUGAAGAAACAAGAAAUAGAUGGUUGUGUCUAGAUCAACAUUAGAAGCUGAAUAUAGAGCAGUAUCUCAAGGGUUGUGUGAGAUGCUCUGGGUUAAGUACCUACUGAGCGAGUUAAGACUUCUGAGGAAGAGACCCUUGAAGGUGUGGUGUGACAAUCAGCCAGCUAUAGCCAUUGCUAAUAAACCAGUUCAACAUGAUAGGACAAAGCACAUGGAAAUUGAUCGCUUCUUCAUUAAGGAGAGACUUGAUGCUAGGAGCCUGGGAUCAUCAUCCUUAAUCAUGUCAGCUCUCGACAGCAGUUUACAGAUUGCUUGACAAAGGGACUCAGAACAAAGAAAUGUAACUUGUUGGAAAUAUGAGCAAUUUACCAAAGGAUUUUAUUAACAAAAAAUAUAGGGAAAACAUGACUAACAUAAAAUAGAUGAAACAAGGCAGGCAAUAUAGAGAUGAGACGACAAAAGACAUGUGCACAUAUGAUCUAAAAGAGAACAUGUAUAGAGUCGUUCUAUGUACACAAAACAUCAUAUGAAAGGAUGAACAGAAAUGAAACAUAUCUAGAAGUGAAACUAGAGCAAGAAGUUGUGGCACGAACUCAAAGAAAAGGAACGCGAGCAUGUACUAAGUUGCAGCAGCAGUAGGGUUGGUGUUGGCGUUGUCGUUGGCCAUGUUACCGAAAAGGUGGUCGACAUCGAGGAAGAAGUCGUCGUCCGGGAAGAGAUCGUCGGUGUCCGUGACGGAAGCCAGUAGUCGAGCUGAGCGCUCCCCAAAAACCUUAUCGCCCUUCUCCCGUACAGGACUCGAAGAGACAGAGUUUCAGAGGCCUACUGUCCCGACAUACGGUGCACGCCGCAAGUCGGGAUGGGGAAGAACGUAGCAGCAGCACAGAAAGAUGGAACCGGUGGUGAGAGAAAAUUCUGAUGCGUCUCUCUCGAGAGGAGCGACCUCUCUUUUAUAGGCGCAAGAGAAGGAGGCGAGAGGCCAGCGACGGGAGCCGAAGAGAACGAUGGAGACGAAACGAACAGACAGCAGACGAUGGGUGCAACGUUCGUGUUCAAAAUGUUCAUCUUUGGAGUGACCUUUCGUAUACCAAUCGUGUGUGGCAAAAAAUUAGUUCAGCUCAACUCAUUACCGCAACCCGCGGCGCGUCGUGACGAGGCGAGGUGGGCGGCGGCGGAGGAGGAGCGCCCUUGUAUGUCUCUCUUGUUCUCAAGCUCAUACAUGUGUGGAAACAUCCCCCCUUAUAAGGAGGUCCAACUCCCACUAAACUAGCAAUGUGGGACUAAACAUUUCCACCUCUUGCCUUGCACAAAUGGGUUGCGUGGGCCUCUAGGAUUUAUUAGGAAUUUCUGAAAUUACAUAUUGGGUGGCCCAAAAGUAAAUAAAAUUCCAGCAAUCCCCCACCAGAUCCGAGAGGCACACAAAAUUUGCCUUUGGUUCCAAAACACUGUUUUAUAUACCGGUACUGCAGUGGAGACUGUUAAGUUGAACUUCCACCUAGAGCUCUAUGCUACACUAGGUAGCAACUUGAACAGUGGACUAGGCCUUGAACUGCAAGUUUUCCGCGAAUCUAGCUUCAUACAGAGCCUUGACCGAUACUAGGCUACUGUGAGACUUCCCCGCAGGCGGAGCUUAUGCGUCAUACUCCGAGACCUUUCAUGAGUUUAGUAGAGAGCACCCUACUCUCAUAGAUUGCAACGUUAACAAUCAGACUCAUAUAGGUAUGUUCUUCAAAAGAUGUUUUGCAUGACAACAUCUCUGCUUGAAUAAGCCACUUAGAACAUAUUAAGAUGUACAUCAACCUGCCAUGCAGUUUAGGAAAGUAUUGCAUGUUCAUGGAGUGGUAUUAUCAAUGAUAAGGAUACUUUCCUCUCAGUUGACCAACAACUUGUCUUCCACAUCUAAUUCACGGGAUCUCCGAUCACAAAGAAUAGGUUACCACUGUGAACAACUCAAAUUGUGGGUCUCAUACCCAUCUCCAUCGAUGCAUUAUCUAUCACAUUACGUGAUAGACCCUUAGUAAAAGGAUAUGCCAGACUUUUAGAUGUUUCGAUAUAAUCCAAUGCAAUAACUCCGGAGUUUCUCAUUUUCCUGACAGAUUUUAACCUUCUCUUAACGUGUCUUGAUGACUUCAUGUUAUCCUUUGAGCUACUCACUUUCGUGAUCACGGUUUGAUUGUCGCAGUUCAUAAGCAUACCUGGUAUAGGUUUCUCGACAAUCGACAAGUCGCUCAAGAGCCGACGAAGCCAAUCUGCUUCGACCGUAGCUGUAUCUAGUGUUGUGAGUUAUGCUUCCAUUGUUGACCUUGUUAAGAUCGUUUGCUUGCAAGACUUCCAAGAAACAAUGCCACCUCCAUGAGUGAAUACAUAUCCGCUCGUGGCCUUUAUCUCAUCAGCAUCAGAGAUCCAGUUUGAAUCACUUUACCCUUCAAGCACCUUUGGGUGUCCAGUAUAGUGAAUUCCAUAAUUUGUAGUGCCUUUCAGAUAACGCAAAACUCUCUCUAGAGCUUUCCAAUGCACAUCUCCUGGUUUUGAGACAAACCGACUCAGUUUGCUAACAGCAAAAGAGAUGUCAGGUCUUGUACCACUGGCUAAGUACAUAAGCGAGCCAAUAAUCUGAGAAUAUUUCAAUUGGUCUCUAGCAAUUCUUCGAUUCUUUCUAAGCAGCACGCUGGCAUCAUAUGGUGUGGGAGAGGCCUUGCAGUCACUAUAUCCAAAGCGACUCAGGAUCUUUCCCACAUAUUGAGAUUGAAGCAACGAAAUCCCACCAUCAUCGUCUCUCGACAACUUGAUGUUCAGAAUGACAUGAGCCACUCCUAAAUCCUUCAUCUCAAAAUAGUGAGAUAGGAAAUCCUUGACCUCCUUAAUAACAUUCAGAUUUGUUCCGAAAAUGAGUAUGUCAUCAACAUACAAGAAAAGGAUAAUUCGCUCGCCCCCACCUUGGCGAUAGUACACGCAUUUAUCAGCUUCAUUUACAACAAAGCAUGCAGCUGUUAAAGUUCUUUCAAACUUCUCAUGCUACUACUUGGGUGCUUGCUUAAGUCCAUAUAAAGACUUCAGCAACUUGCACACUUCUCCUUCCUCGCCAUCUACUAUAAACCCAUCUGGUUGUUCCAUGUAAAUUUCCUCAUCCAACUCUCCAUUUAGGAAAGCAGUCUUAACAUCCAUUUGAUGAACGAGAAGACCAUGUGAGGCGGCUAGUGAAGGUAGUACUCGAAUAGUGGUCAGUCAAGCCACAGGUUAGUAUGUAUCAAAGAAGUCUUCACCUUCCUUUUGGGUAUAACCCUUAGCCAUGAGUCGUGCCUUGUACUUCUCGAUAGUACCAUCAGGCCUAAGCUUCUUCUUGAAUACCCAUUUGUAUCCUAUAGGUUUGCACCCAUAAGGACGAUCAGUGAUCUCCCAAGUUUCAUUUGUCAAGAUGGAAUCCAUCUCACUACGGACUGCUUCCUUCUAGUAGUCAGCAUCUUCAGACGCAUAAACCUCUGAAAUAGAACUAGGAGUGUCAUCUAUGAGAUACACAAGAAAAUCAUCACCAAAGGACUUUGCAGUCCUCUGUCUCUUGCUCCUGGUAGAAACUUCAUUGUUCUCCUCCACAGUAUUUUCAAAAAUUUCCAUAGAAAUGAUAGGUUCGGUAAUUGUAACUAAUUCAUGAUUCGAUGAAUUAGGCAUCUCCUGGUUAGAUGAGGUAGCCAUAUCCUUCAUGGGAAAGAUAUCUUCGAAGAAAGUCGCAUCAUUCGACUCCAUGAUUGUACCGACAUGCAUGUCAGAUACCUCAGAUUUUACAACCAAGAAUCUAUACCCAAUGCUAUGAAAAGCAUAUCCCAGGAAAACACAAUCCACAGUUUUUUGGUCCUAGGUUCGUAGAUAAGAGAGUUUUAACCUGUUCUUCUCACAUUCCUCGAAUGGAGUUAUCUCUUUGUUCUUUGUGGGAACUCUGUUUAGGACAUGACAUGCAGUCAAUAUCGCCUCCCCCCCACCAUGCCUUGGAGAGACCCGAUGUGUCUAACAAAAGCGUUAACCAAAUCAGUUAGAGUACCAUUCUUUCUUUCGGCUACUCCAUUUGACUGAGGUGAAUAGGGAGGCGUCCUCUCAUGGAUUAUACCAUGUUCCGCACAAAAAGAAUCAAAUUCAUUUGAGAAAUACUCUCCACCACGAUCAGACCUAAGCCUCUUGAUCUUUCGAUCAAGUUGGUUUUCCGCUUCAGCUUUAUAGGUCUUGAAAAAGUUUAAAGCCUCAUCCUUAGAUUUUAGAAGAUACACUUGGCAGUAUCUAGUGGAGUCAUCAAUUAACGUCAUGAAAUAUUUCUUUCUACCUUUUGUCAAAAUACCAUUCAUUUCACAUAGAUCUGAAUGUAUGAGCUCUAGUAGUGCAAGGUUUCUUGUUUCGGCAGUCGUGUGAGACUUACGAGGCUGCUUGGCUUGCACACAAACUUGACACUUAGAUCCCUUGACGAUGGUGAAACUAGGGAUUGAGUUCAAUUUGGCUAGUCGCGACAUGCAACCAAAAUUAACAUGACAGAGACGUGAAUGCCAAACAUUUGAUUCACUAUUGUUGCAAACAUGAUUAACAACUUUAUUGCAAACAUCAGCCAAGGAUAAACGGAAUAGGCCUCCUGACUCAUAGCCUUUACCAACAAAAGUUCCAUACUUGGAUAUUACAAAUUUAUUCGACACAAAGACAAGCUUGUAGCCAUCUCUACACAAAUGAGAUCCGCUAACAAGAUUUUUAUUCACGGAGGGGACAUAAUGCACGUUCUUGAGCCGCAUGACCUUCCCCGAAGUAAACUUCAGAUCGACCGUGCCAACACCACGAACAGAAGCACUUGAACCGUUGCCCAUCAGCACGGUGGAAGUCCCUGCGGACUCAUAAGACGAAAACAUGGAAAUAUCACCGCAUACAUGCACAUUAGCACCCGUGUCAAUCAACCAAUCGGGAAAAUGACAUACUGAAAGGCUAGUGGGAAAUAUACCAUACUAGCAUCCUCCACAUCAGUGUCACCAAUGACAACAUUAGCGGUCUUGCCACCUUUCCCAUGUUGACGCUUGUCAGGGCAGUUAGGUGCCCAAUGAUCAGGAUCUCCGCACACAUGACAAACACCUUUCUUCUUGUCAUUCUUCUUCUUGAAGUUGGUGUGUUGUACAGCCUUGUUCUUCCCAUCGAACUUUGCUUUACCAUCAAACUUGCCCUUGUUCUUGAAAUUGUGGGGCUGGAAGUUUUUCUUAUAUACCAGAUUGGCACUAGAUCCUCCCUCAAUACCUCGAGCACGUGUGUCUUUUGCUCUCGCCUUUUCUUCCACAUCAAGAGUACCUAUGAGAUCCGAACGGAAAACUCCUGCCUCUUAUUCUUUAGUAAGGUAGCAAAGUUCCUCCACGAAGGAGGAAGUUUAGUGAUGAUGCCUCCGGUAACAAACUUGUCCGGUAGCAUGCAAUUGAAGUGUUCAAGUUCUCUUGCAAAUGACUGUAUCUCAUGAGCUUGCUUAACCACGGAGCGCUCUUCAAUCAUCCCGUGGUCAUAGAAUUGUUCCAUGAUGUACAGCUCAGUGCCAGCAUCCGAGACCCCAAACUUGGCCUCGAAUGCAUCCCACAUUUAUUUUCCAUUAUCAAUUGACGCAUAAGCAUCAACUAUGUUCUCACCAAGAACGCUCAAGAGAGCAGCCUUAAACAAGGUAUCCAUUUUCUGGAAAGCUAGUUCCUGUUGAGCAUCAUGACCUCCUUCAGAUUUGCCAAGAGUGACGUCAUAGCAGCUCAUGGUUUGAAACCAUAGAACAGCUCUCACGGGCCACCUCUUAUAGUGGAUACCCUAAAAAAUAGGAGGUCUCAUGGAAGCAGCAAAACCACUCGGGGUAAAUUGCCUAUUAUAAGGUUUUUGGAUUGUUGGAAAUAUGGACAAUUUACCAUAGGAUUUUAUUAAUAGAAAAGAUAGGAAAAACAUGACUAUCAUAAAAUAGAUGAAACAAGGCAGGCAAUAUAGAGAUGAGACAACAAAAGACAUGUGCACAUAUGAUCAAAAAGAGAACAUAUAUAGAGCCGUUCUAUGUACACAAAACAUCAUAUGAAAGGAUGAACAGAAACGGAACAUAUCUAAAAGUGAAACUAGAGCAAGAAGGAACUCAAAGAGAAGGAACACGAAUCUCUUUUAUAGGGGCAAGAGAAGGAGGCGAGAGGGCAGCGACGAGGAGGAACGCGCGUGUAUGUCUCUCUUGUUUUCAAGUUCAUACAUGUGUGGAAACAUCCUUCCUUAUAAGGAGGUCCAACUCCCACUAAACUAGCAAUGUGGGACUAAACAUUUUCACCUCUUGCCUUGCACAAAUGGACUUGUGGGCAUCUAGGAUUUAUUAGGAAAUUCUGAAAUUAUAUAUUUGGCUAGCCCAAAAAUAAAUAAAAUUCCAGCAUAACUUGACAUGUGACAAAAUGGAAAUGAUAGAUAUCUACCAUCCAUCUUGAGGGGAGUGUUGAAGGCCCAAGCCCAUCAAGCUUUAUCACUUAGGGCCCAAGCCCUCGUAUGGGUGCUGACCUAGAAGGGGGCAUCUAGUCCUCCCACUCACAUAAGAGCCACGACAAAGCUAUGGACAGGGUGAGCCCGCGAAUCAAAACAAUCUAAAAAUAACUAGAUUUUCUUUCAGUGUAUGGCUAGGACAUCAAAACGGAUCUCCAUUAUUUUUCCUGUAUUCAGAGAAGAGUAGAAAUGCUAGCCAAUAUAGCUAAUUUCACUUUCAAAUGGGAAUGGGGAGGCAGCGUGGGGGUACAGAGGAUACAGGAGAAGGUGGCAUCUGAGGAGAAUAUAUACAGUACAUGAGGGAUUUAGAAGCAAGCAUGCUUCCCUCCUACAGGAAGCAUCAUAACUUCUUGACACAGUAUCACAGUUCACACACCAGGAUCGUCAUCAUCAAAAGAUUACGCGGUCGCAGCUGCAGCUUCCUCCGCCACCUCCUGCUGCAGAGUGCAGAUCAGGUUGCGAUCCCCGUACACGUUGUCCACACGACCUGACAAGAGCACAAGAGAAAUUAUUAGUUUGUACGUCAAACAACAAAAUGUAAGCUAUGUGAAGGUCUUGGAACUAUCAGUACAUGUUGUUGGCCAGAACUUGGCACCACGAAGCCACGCCGCGGGGAAUGCAGCAUACUCCCUGGAGUAUGGCUUAGUCCAUGCAUCACCCAUCAGGAUUUGGGGUGGGUGAGGAGCACCCUGCGUAACAAAACAGGCAAAAGAAAUUAACUUCUCUGUUCAUGUGCAUUGAGUUGCAUGCAUCAGACAGUUCAGCCAAAAGCUCAAACUGUUAGGAAAAUGUUUGUGAUUUGUUAUGGAAACCAUUCGGAGUAGAUUACCUUCAGGACAUUGUUGUGCGCAUCUGCUUUUCCAUUUUCUACCUGUGCAAUUUCCUCUCUGAUGGAGAUAAGGGCAUCACAGAACCUGUCUAGUUCAGCCUGCCAGAUAAAUGAUGUGGCAGUAAGCUAAUGCAAAAGCCAACGGUUGGUGCAAUGACAAGCACUCGAUUGAAUUAGACAUGCCUACCUUGCUUUCACUUUCAGUAGGUUCAAUCAUAAGUGUGCCUGGAACAGGCCACGACAUGGUUGGUCCAUGGAAUCCAUAGUCCAUCAAGCGCUUCGCCACAUCCUCGGGCUCAAUACCGGCAGUUGCCUGUCAAAAAUUCCAAGAUCCAGUCAGAGAAUUGAUAUGGAAAAAAACGAGGCACAAAGUGCUCACAUGGUUCGGACAAGUACCUUGAAUCCUCUUAAAUCAAUAAUGAACUCAUGGGCAACAGUUCCAUUGACUCCACGGAAAAGAACUGGGUAGUGUUUCUGCAAAAUGCGUUACAAAUUAGAAAACUAGUUCAAUAAUAAAUAUAUUUUAGUAAAGGCCAUGUAAUGUGUGACCAUGAGUAACAUCAAGUACCUCCAGACGCUUUGCCAUGUAGUUCGCGUUCAGGAUCGCAAUCUUUGAGGCUUCAGUUAGUCCUUGAGAGCCCAUCAUGGCUAUGUAGGUGUACGAAAUUGGAAGAAUCAAAGCAGAUCCCCAUGGAGCAGCAGAAAUGGAACCAAGAGGGUCGGUUUUCUCAGGGAGAGGGAAGCCACCAGUGGGGAUCUAAUGAAUUGCCAAAUUAGUUUGAUAAUGUAGCUGCAUUUUCUUUUAAGAAACGAAAAAAGUCAAGCAAAAGAAAUUAAGAUUCAUUCUUUUGGUUAUAGUACUCAACAUUAAAGACAUGGCUCCAGUAGUUAACACAUCAUCACCAAACACUUUUUUAAUAAUUUAGUCGUGCAAAAGGAAAGAAUACAAAGAGACGACACACUACCAAAUAUCAAGCUCAUAUGUUUUUUCAAAUUAACUAUUGGACAUUGGGUGCUAUUUUAUUAGGAGUGAGAUCUGAGUAAUAUGAUUUUAUUUGCAGUGAUAACAUUAAAAAAUAGGAUACCUACCACUGGAUGAGAUGGCAAAAAUGGUGCCAAGUGCUUCUUAACACCAAUAGGACCCAUGCCAGGACCACCUCCACCAUGUGGAAUGCAAAAUGUCUUGUGAAGGUUAAGAUGGCAAACAUCUGCUCCAAUAAAACCAGGGCUUGUCAACCCAACCUGUAAAAACACAAAAUUUGUAAGUUAAAGAGAAUCAUUUGUCUCUGUAGGAUACUUAGUUUGAGAUAUCUGAAAAUGACCAGAUCACAAUACCUCAAUUAUGUUAAGAUUUUCAGUUAAAAAAGUUUAGGUUCAGGUGAACUUGAAGACAUAUUUCUUACAGAAAACAUAGCUUAGCACCGAUAAACCGGAUAAGUACAAACAAUUACCAUUUUUUAACAUAACAAAUAAGAAGUAGAUAAAAGAAACUAAUAGAAAUAUGUAGUUUGCAGUUUCUCAGAAUAAACUUCAUUAUAUUGGCAAGAUAUAUAAGUUGGUGGGCCAAGAUACAUUAUUACUAGUAUAAAACAUUUGAAGGGGGUAAUUGCAGAAGGAACAAGUAGACAGAGUGGCACAACCAAGUGCAGUGACCUCACCUGAGCGUUCAUGUUAGCUCCAUCCAUAUAGACCUGACCGCCGUUAUCAUGAAUAAUCCUGCAAAUCUCAUCAAUGCCUUCUUCGUAGACUCCAUGGGUUGAAGGAUAGGUAACCUGAAGAACAAAGAAAUCACACAAUAUUCUGUUAUUCUUGGCACAAAAUGAUACAAACAUUUCUUCAAUGAACUUUCAUCCUCGGCGAACUCAACAUUUUCCAUGGUUCCAAGUAAGUUACUCUUAAUCACUUGCUUGAAAGAAGAAGUUACUCUUAUUCAUCAACCAUAUGUAGCUUCAAUAUAUGAUGAUAUGAAAUAAGGUAUUUGGACAUAUUCUUCCAUUAUAUAUCAAUUAAUUCAAAUAGCUUCAUGUAAAAGGUUAUAUGAAGCAGUUGUCUGAUUUCCAUUUUAACAUACACUCACCAAUUUCCCACACAAUUUGUGUGGCUCGAUACUAUAACAUGCUUCCAUCAAAUUAUUUAUUCCACACCACUACAAUCUGAACACACGAAAAGAAGCAGUGUAGAUUUUUUCUCUUUUUCUUCUGAUUAAUCUAGUAAUUUCUAGCCAUGGAUAGUAAAUAUUUUAGUUAUAUAAUGUAGAUCAGAAGCUGCAAGAAAAUAAGACAGUGAAAGUCUCCUAAUUGCUCCAUCACACUUGAUAUAGUGAUAGCUACUCCCUCUGUACCUAAGUAAUUGUAGUUGGGGAGAACUACUUAGGUACAGAGGGAGUAUAAUAUAGAUUCAGAAUGGUAGCUCAAAAUUUAAUAAUCAACAACUGAGCUGAAAGAGUUCACACUGAGGUCGCAAUUCGUCAUAAACUCUCAAAUUGACAGAGCGUAGAAUUAGAAAUAGUACCAUCAGAGCAGACAGGUUGUCCUUGUUUGCUUCAGCAGCUUUCCUCAACUCCUCAAUGUUAAUGUUACCUUUGGCAUCAGUUCCAACAGCAACAAUCUUCAUUCCACACAUAGCAGCACUUGCAGGGUUUGUACCGUGCGCAGAGACGGGAAUGAUGCAGACAUUUCGGUGGUGGUCUCCUCUUGCCUGCAUUUUUUGCACAUGGUUCAUAAACAAAGAGUGCGAAACAAAGCAACAGAACUAGCGCAGCGUAUUUGUCAUGGCAUACCUUGUGGUAUGCCCGAAUAACCAUCAGUCCAGCAUACUCUCCUGAAGCACCAGCAUUCGGUUGCAAAGAAAACGAAUCAAAACCAGUGAUGGUGUUCAGCAGAUCACCCAGGUUGUCAAACAUUUCCUUCAUUAAAAAAAACAAGUCAAUUCGGAACAUUGGUUCAUUUUUUUUUUCAUUAGAAACUAAAUAAAUACAAAAUGGUCCAUACAUGAUAGCCUGCAGCUUGAUCAAUAGGGGCAAAUGGGUGCAUGUUGGCGAACUUGGGAUCGGUGACGGGCAUCAUCUCGACGGUAGCAUUUAGUUUCAUGGUGCAAGAACCAAGAGGGAUCAUACUGUGGCACAGUGAGAGAUCCUUGGAUUGCAACUUGUGCAGGUAACGGAGGAGCUCGUGCUCUGUGUGGUACCUGCAAGGCCACGGCAUAUCUUCAGUUAGUUUCAUAACAUUCAGACAAAUUAGUGAAGUUUGUGCUCUGUGCACAAUGUUUUUGUUUGGAAAUAAAUAAAAAAUAUUAUUGACGCAAAAGAUGCAAACUUUUGACAAUAAACGUACAUGCUAAAGAUUGGGUGGGUCAAGUAGGGGCUGUCGCGCACAAGGCUAGGAGGAAUUGAGCUUGAGACCUCAGGCGCAAUGGAUUCAGCUGUGAAGCCCACCUGAAAGCGUUGUUGCCAGAACAUCAUUUAAAUUUGCGACAUAAUUUGACAUGAAGCACGCGGAAUUAUGCAGUUGGUUGGUGACUACUUACUGGCUUGCCACCAGAGAAAACCUUGAACAGCUUGUCAACAUCCUCCAAGGUGGUGGUCUCAUCAAAGGCAACGGUGAUCUACAAUAUCACAACUCGAAAUUAAUGCUCGAAACUCAGAACUAAUUCGGUUGGAGUGGAACACAACAGAAAUCAGCUGAAAACGAACCGUGUUUGCGUCGACAACGCGAAGGUUCAUCUCGUUUUUGCGGGCCUCCUCAGCAAUGGCAUUAGCAUCGGCGCAAGUGAUCUUGACCGUGUCAAAGUAGGGCAGCUCCUGCACUGUCACUGUCCCGAGCUUCUUCAAACCAUGGGCGAAAGUACCAGCCAGUCCAUGGACACGGUCGGCGAUCGCCUUCAGGCCAGCCGGACCAUGGUAGACGGCAUACAUCGCCGCCAUGUUGGCGAGCAACGCCUAUAAAGUGACAAAAGGUAUCUAAUGAAUCACUAAUUUAUGAUAAUAUGCUCGGCCACUAACCCACCCACCCGUAUCAGGUAGCACGAACUCUUAGCUAUUGUGCUGUCACUAUCAGGAAAAUUGGUGAGUGGGUGGGGGUGCUCGCGUACCUGCGCGGUGCAGAUGUUGCUGGUGGCCUUGUCUCGCCGGAUGUGCUGCUCCCUGGUCUGCAUCGCCAUGCGGAGCGCGGGCUUGCCGCUGGAGUCGACGCUCACACCGAUGAUGCGGCCGGGCAUCAGCCUCUUGUACUCCUGGGAGGUGGCGAGGAAGGCAGCGUGCGGGCCGCCGUACCCCAUGGGCACGCCGAAGCGUUGCGCGGAGCCCACGGCGAUGUCGGCGCCAAUCUCGCCCGGCGGGCGCAGCGUGGUGAGCGCGAGCAGGUCAGUGGCCAUCACCACCUUGACGCCGUGCGCGUGCGCGUCCUUGACGAACUCGGCGUAGUCCAACACCUCCCCCUCGGUGCCGGGGUACUGCACGAGCACGCCGCAGACGUCGCCGCUGCUGUAGUCGAAGUCCUUGGCGGCGGAGACGACGACGUUGAUGUCGAAGCCGGUGGCACGCGUCUUGCAGAUGUCGAUGGUCUGCGGGUGGCAGUUGGAGGCGAUGAGGAAGGUCUUCUUCUUGGACUUGACGAUGCCGAGGCACAUGGCCAUUGCCUCGGCGGCGGCGGUGGCCUCGUCGAGCAGCGAGGCGUUGGACAUGGGCAGGCCGGUGAGGUCGGCGACCAUGGUCUGGUAGUUGAGCAGCGACUCGAGGCGGCCCUGGGCGAUCUCCGCCUGGUAAGGCGUGUAUUGCGUGUACCACGCGGGGUUCUCCAUGAGGUUGCGCAGUAUGACGGCGGGGAUGUGGGUGUUGUAGUAGCCCAUCCCGAUGAAGGACUUGUAGGUCUUGUUCAUGGAGGCGAGGUGCGCCAUGUGGUCGAGCAUCUGCGACUCGGUGAAGCCUGCGUCGAACUUGCCGGUGAACUGCAUGGGCGGCGCGCGGAUUGCGGCCGGGACGGUGGCGUCGAUGAGCGCGUCGAGGGUGUUGAAGCCGCACUCGGACGCCAUAACGGCCUGCUCGGCGGGGGUGGCCGAGUUGUGCCGCCGCGGGAAGGUGUCGCUGGGCUGCAGCGCCGACACGGAGACGGGCCGGCCGGGCGUGUACUGGUGCGCCGGGCGCGCGCGGGGCGCGACCCGGCCGCCGCCGGCCUGGGCGCCAGGGUGGAGACGCCGCGGGACGGGGACGGGGACGUGGCGGACGAGGAGGCCGCGAGCAGGCGGCGCAGCAGCGCGCGGCUGGCGAGGCGGCGUGCGCGCUCCAGUUGGGCGUGGGGGGGUGGAUGCGGAGACGCACGCGCGCGGCGGCNGAGUGUGAUUUGGUUUGGUUGGCCAAUAUAUAUCGGCGCGUUCGGUUGUGCUCAGCUGGGGUGGGGUGGGAGUGAGGUGGAGAGCACGGCGCGAGACGGAGGUUUCAGGGUGACGUGGGCGCUGACAGUGGUGAUCGGCAACGGGCGGCGGGGAGGAGGAUGGCGUUUGGAUGGACGAGGGGCCGAGCAGCGGCCGGUAUAAGAGGCCCAGCCACAGAAACCGGCAAGUAGAGUGGGAACGGGCGACGGGGGGAGGUAUCGAUCGGGAGGAAGACGAUGGGUCGAUCGGGCGGGAGAGAUGAGAGAGACGACGCGCGUCCCAACUCCGGCGCUGCAAGCUGCCUGGACCUUAUCGCUUUCCUCCGCCCCAAUCUCCCCUCCCGCCGCAGAAAAUUCUGUGGAGACCGCUGCCCGCUGGGCCGUAAUUUUUGCGGCGUCUGUUACACCCGGUGGCAUGGCAUGGCGUGGUGCCGAGCGGGGAGCUGCCGAAUCGGUGCGGCGCUGGCGAGCGCGACGCCACGGCCGACGGAUGCAUGCUGGAUCCAGUCCAGGAAGUGGUAACACGUGGGGAUGGCGUGGGGCUCCAUUGGCCGGGGUAGGAGAACCAGGGAAGGUCGAACUGCAUUGGCUGGGGAUGGUCCGCGCGUCAGUGACCGGCGUGGGUUUGGUAUGCGUCCAAGCGGAGCAGACCCGGAUGAUGGUUGGGAUCACCUACCGCGAAAGAAUCUCUGGGUACCCGUGAGGGUGGGAGGCCGGAUGUCGUUGUUCCACCAACCACCUAUAGUCUGCUAACAUAUUUUAGAAAGCUUUUCAUCUUCCGUUCAAGUUAUUUUUUAGUUGUCUGGUUGAAGUACCAUUUGAUUGGCAGGGCUGGCUAGAAAUAAUUAUACCGUUGAUAUUGUUUAGUGAAAAAAUUCAGUAGUUGCUACAAGUACUAAUUUUCUUCAACUAUAAUUAUUUAGGUACAUAGGAAGUACUGUAUAAUUUGAUGUUAUAGUUGCUACCGGUAGAAGUCGAAAAUACAAAUCUCACACGCUCUACGAUGAGAUUGAGGUUGUCCAACCUUUGGCAGUCGGAAAUGAAGCCAGAGGACAAUCGCAUGGCGAUCGAGAAAAAUCUACUACAAGAAAACAAGAUCCGUAAAACCAUAUCAUUGGACACACCAUCCUUCACACGACUCUCGACAAUAUGAAGAAGCACCAUCGGAACGAGGUCGAGAUGGGUGGACGUUACUCAUGCUAGCAGCGACGCCAUCGGCUUGCCACCGUCAAUCGGAGACAAAGCCUAACUUUAUUCCUCACCCUAUCACCACUCACCACCAAAUCGAAUCCCUGGGGUCCCCGCCCCCUUCCGUCGUCGAAGUGACGAGCGAAGAGCGACGGGACCCGUAGUCCUAACCGGGAAGAAGGUAGAUCGACCGCCGCCCUGGUGACAAAUAAUUACUUCAUAAUAAGUCAAUACUCAUUUAGUAAUUUCUACUGCAUAGUUAGCAUUGUUUGAUAAAUGAAUUGUGUUUUGUCUUGUUUUGUUUGCGUUGUCAGACAUAAGCAUCCAGUGAUCGGAGGGUACCAAAACUAUGGAUGUGCCCGAGUUGUGUUCCUAACACUAGCCGGCCCCUGGGGCAUAGUGUUAGGGUUUGGGGUAGCUUCUAUUUCUAUAUCUCCUUCAAAUACGAUGAUUUCAUAUUUAGGCGACGUCCUUUACUAACUUGUCAUUUCAAAAGGGGAUAGGUUCAAGUGGUGCAUUUGUGCACUUCGUGUGUUGGUGAAUCAUCUUUAGCAUAUUCAUUUCCUUUAUUCACCAAGCUUGGGUAUUGUAGCAUAUCACUUUUCCUUUCAUAGGACAUGGCUUAGGGUUACCUUUUGGCUAUCCUUUUUCAUUGACUAUUGAUGUCGGUCUAGCCAUCUACCCCUCUAGAGAUAUAAUACACACUUCUGUUAUUCGAUGGAAUGGAAUGAAUUUUUGUUGUUGUUUUGAUGAAAUGGAAUGGAUUUGUAUUCAUGUUGCUCUGAUUACUUAUCGCUCUUUCAAAUGAAAAAGUCUGAACAAAGUACCACACCACUUGUAAGCAAGUGGAGCUUAGCCUAAGUGGUGAACCAGCAAAGGGCACAUUUGGACUAAUUGUCAUGGGUAAGACAUACUAGUGAUAAUGAUCGCUCGUCACUCAUAUAACCAGUUACAAGUGUUGAAAAUUAUAAGUGACGGACGACUAACUCAUCACCGGUGCAUGUUUUGAACCUAUUACUAGCAAUGCUUUAUGCAUAAGUAGUUAGGCAUUUCCAAAUGGUCUUAACUAAGUCUACAAACCAACCGGUUGUAACCAUGCCAAUUCGAUCUUGAAUGGGUACCGUUGAAAGGACCAGCAUGUCGCCUAGAGAGGGGGUGGAUACUCGCUUGCAAAACUUUUAUGAAUUUGGUUGAAUCCUAAAGUAGGCAGGUAUUUUCCAAGCACAAAUCGUAAAUAUAGUAGGCUUAGUGAAGUGAACCAAUAACUUAAACUAAACAACAUGAGAACAAUGGCAUUACUAGCAAGCAGAAGUAAGUUGCAUACUUACAUGAGGUGUAUAUAAGAAGAGAUGGAAAAUUAAUGAUACACAUAAGCAUGAGUAAGAAUACAAGUUUACACAAGAUACAUAAAUAAACAGUACAAGUUAGUAGUUACACUAAGUACAAGAUAUAAUAACAAUAUCAAGUAUGAAUUGCGGAAAGUAAUGGAGACAAGAGACUGCAUAUAUGUUCCUGAAGUUUAAGUAUCCACUCAUACUCUAGUCUCUAUUGGAGGGAUGGGUGAUACCACAAAGGCGCAACAAUACCGCAAAAGGUCGCCCUUUUUUCCUUGAGAUAUCAACAUGAAGGAGAUUUUGAACCACUAUGGUUAGCUUGUUCCUCCACUCGAUAUAUGUCAAGAUUCACGACCAUUUCCAACCAUAACGAAGGAGUAACUAGGGCCUCUUCACAAUCUCUAUCAAGAGGGCAAUGAAGCAGCAACCACCAAACUGUUUAAGAGGCGGCGGCCUCCAAGAGUAACAAGCUCAUGGGAUCUCACUUGAAAAAAUCGACAUGGAGAGCUCAAAACGAUGCAACAAAUGCAAAGCAAGAACAUAAGAAUGCUCAAAUCCUCUCUCUCUCUCUCUCUCUCAAAUCUCACCAAAGCAAUUCAUGCUAUGGAGGGAUGGAAGAGAAGAGAAACAAUGGGAGAGGUUAGCAAAUGAAUCCUAGAUGCAUGGGAUAGUUUUCCCCCAAAUGUAUUGUUGGAAAUAUGCCCUAGGGGUAAUAAUAAAUUAGUUAUUAUUAUAUUUCUUUGUUCAUGAUAAUCGUUUAUUAUCCAUGCUAUAAUUGUAUUGAUUGGAAACACAAUACUUGUGUGGAUACAUAGACAAAACACUGUCCCUAGUAAGCCUCUAGUUGACUAGCUCGUUGACCAAAGAUGGUCAAGGUUUCCUGACCAUAGGCAAGUGUGGUUACUUGAUAUCGGGAUCACAUCAUUAGGAGAAUCAUGUGAUGGUCUAGACCCAAACUAAUGAACGUAGAAUGUUGAUCGUGUCAUUUUGUUGCUACUGUUUUUCUGCGUGUCAAGUAUUUGUUCCUAUGACCAUGAGAUCAUAUAACUCACUGGCACCAGAGGAAUACCUUGUGUGUAUGAAACGUCACAACGUAACUGGGUGACUAUAAAGAUCCUCUAUAGGUAUCUCCGAAGGUGUUCGUUGAGUUAGUAUGGAUCGAGACUCGGAUUUGUCACUCCGUGUGACGGAGAGGUAUCUCGGGGCCCACUCGGUAAUACAACAUCACACACAAGCUUUGCAAGCAAUGUGACUUAGUGUAAGUUGCGGGAUCUUGUAUUACGGAAACGAGUAAAGAGACUUGCCGGUAAACGAGAUUGAAAUAGGUAUGCGGAUACUGACGAUCAACUCUCGGGCAAGUAACAUACCGAAGGACAAAGGGAAUGACAUACAGGAUUAUAUGAAUCAUUGGCACUGAGGUUCAAACGAUAAGAUCUUCGUAGAAUAUGUAGGAUCCAAUAUGGGCAUCCAGGUCCUGCUAUUGGAUAUUGACUGAGGAGUCACUCGGGUCAUGUCUACAUAGUUCUCGAACCCGCAGGGUCUGCACACUUAAGGUUCGACGUUGUUUUAUGCGUAUUUGAGUUAUAUGGUUGGUCACCGAAUGUUGUUCGGAGUCCUGGAUGAGAUCACGGACGUCACGAGGGUUUCCGGAAUGGCCCGGAAACGAAGGUUGAUAUAUAGGAUGACUUCAUUUGGUUACCGGAAAGUUUUCGGGCAUUACCGGUAAUGUACCGGGAAUGACGAAUGGGUUCCGGAUCUUCACCGGGAGGGGGACCACCCACCCGGGAGGGCCCAAGGACCUUGGGGGUGGCGCACUAAGUAGGUGGGGUCAGCCCAAGGCUGUCUUGCGCAAGGGAGAAAGAAACACCAAAAGAAGAGAAAAAAAAGGGAAAGGUGGGAAAGAAGAGAAGGACUCCACCUUCCAAUCCUAGUUGGACUAGGAUUGGAGGAGCACUCCUCCUCCCCUUGGUGGCGCAGCCCUUGGGGCUCCUUAAGCCUCAAGGCAAGCCUCCCCUCCCCUCCUCCUAUAUAUAUGGAGCUAUUAGGGCUGAUCUGAGACAACUUUUGGCACGGCAGCCCGACCACAUACCUCCACGGUUUUUCCUCUAGAUCGUGUUUCUGCGGAGCUCGGGCGGAGCCCUGCGAGAUUAGAUCACCACCAACCUCCGGAGCACCGUCACGCUUCCGGAGAACUCAUCUACCUCUCCGUCUCUCUUGUUGGAUCAAGAAGGCCAAGAUCAUCGUCGAGCUGUACGUGUGCUGAACGUGGAGGUGCCGUCCGUUCGGCACUAGAUCGGAGCGGAUCGUGGGACGGAUCGCGGGACGGUUCGUGGGACGGUUCACGGGGUGGAUCGAGGGACGUGAGGACUUUCCACUACAUCAACCGCGUUUAUUAACGCUUCUGCUGUGCGAUCUACAAGGGUACGUAGAUCGGAAAUCCCCUCUCGUAGAUGGACAUCACCAUGAUAGGUCUUCGUGCGCGUAGGAAAUUUUUUGUUUCCCAUGCGACGUUCCCCAACAUGUAUUUGUUCUGAGUCUGGGUGAGGAGGACAAAGGUCAAAAUAAGAGGGAAAUCUCAGAUCCAAAAAUUCCCCCUCCAUAGGGAAGAAUGGAGCAUUAUAUAGUCAUCGAGUGAAUUUGCCUAUUAUAACAAAAAAGGCAGUCAAAAACUUCUAAGUAAGCCCAGAACUUCCAGGCUCCCUUUUGGUCAGAUUUUCACAACCCUUCUGAAAACCAGAACUUCUACCGUGUGAAAAAUAAUCUUCACCCCAACACAAACACAUGCACAACUUUAUCAUACAAGUUUUGAUUUUGAUGAUGUGGAGCUCUUUUCAAAGCUAUUGACAAGUUCAAGGUCCGCACAUAGAGAACCACCCUAUAUCAACCAAAACGGAGGAUACAAUAGAUGUAAAGAUUUGAGCACUCUACGCACAAUGUGAUGAAAUUAGUACCCCGGAAGCCCCUCUUGAUAGUAUAACUAUCAAUCCUAUAUAUAAUCCUAUCUCCCACCAAGUUGCAUGGGAUCGGUAAAACUAGGAAAACUAGAUAAUGCCCCGCACGUUAUUGCGGGAAGCUUGCUAAUAAAAAUAUGGACAAUUGAUAAAAGACUAAAAAUUUAUGCAAGGACAAAUAUAAAAGUGUGUUUUACAUGACUUAAUUCCCUUGAAAAGGUAAUGCAUGAGGUGAUAGAUUUUGCAUGCAAAGAUUAAUGAAAAAAGUGACUUAUGACUCCAUGCAUGACAUGGUGAUGUGGCAUUGUUGCAUGGAGAGAAAAAUUAGUUAGUGGGUUGUAGCUAUUUUAGAAUAGAGGAUAUUGCUAAGGUAUACCUUUUCCUUGAGUGUUCCACUUGAUCUUGAUGUUGACUUUAACACUUUCUUCAAGUCGGCAGUGAAAUCUUGAUCAUGUCACUUGGUGAAGACUUCAAGUAGCUCCCACAUAACCCUUGUGGGACGCACUAUCUUGUAUAAUAUCUUCACAAGUAUCAAUCAUCCCUAUAUGGACUUUUACAUGUCCAUCACGUGGUCAUCAACAAGCUACAAACAUGUGUUCCCUUCAAUGCAUAUCUUGAACUAGCCCUUAAUUAUCAAGCUUGAUGGACAUCUUCACUUGAUGUCAUCCUCGCAUGAGCAACUUAAAAUAUUUCUUUUAGUGCAAGCCCUUGAGAAUCACCUAACCCUUAUAGACAUAUAAAACACAUAGUAUGCGUCACUCCACACAGAAAUUUGUAAUUUCUUACCAUACCACAAGAUUCCAUGUGGUACAUCAUUUGCGAUUGUGUGUUGACCAUAUAUAGUUCAAUCUUCAAGCUUUAUGCUGCUCAAUGAUACGUCUCCAACGUAUCUAUAAUUUAUGAAGUAUUCAUGUCAUAUUUACCCAUGUUUACAAUAUUUUAUAUGGUUUUGAUGAACUUUACAUGAUCUAAUUAGAGUAACCUGGACUGAUGGUGUUUUCAGCACAAUUACCGUGUUGUUUUUUGUGCAGAAAAUAAAAGUUCUUGUAAUCGCGUGAAAUUUUUUGAUGAUUUUUUGUGGAGAAAAUAAGAAAUAUGGGAGCAAAGAACUACCAGAGGGGGGCCACCUGUUGGUGCCAAGCCAAUAGGGCGCGCCCAGAUGGCUUGGGACCACCUCGUGGAUCCGUUUGACGUGAUUCCAACACUGAAAAAUCCUAUAAAUACAGAAACCCCUAGAAGUUAACCUAGAACUUCUGCUUUGUUGCCUGAAGCCUCUGUAUCAAAGAAAACUCAUCCAGAGCCCUGUUCCGGCACCCUGUCGGAGGGGGCAAACAUCAUCGAAGGUCAUCUUCAUCAUCUCGCCGGUCUCCAUGGCAACGAGGGAGUAGUUCACCCUCGGGACUGAGGGUAUGUACCGAUAGCUAUGUGUUUGAUAUCUCUCUCUCUCGUGUUCUUGAGAUGUCAUGAUCUUGAUGUAUCACGGGCUAUGUUAAAAUAGUUGGAUCAUAUGGUGUUUAUCCCUUUCUAUCUUGAUGUAAUGAAUUGAAUCUUUCCCUUUGAGAUGUUGUUAUGUCGGAUUUAAUAUUGGAUUUGAGAUCACCUGAUGUAUGUCUUGCAUGUGGAUACUCAUGGUCACAAUGGGGUAUUCUAUUGAUUCACUUGAUAUAUGUUUUGGUACUCAACUUGCGGAUUCCCGUGGUGACAAUGGGGUAAUCUAUGCAUAUGAUUUGAUACAUGUUCUGGUCCUACUUUCUCCCAUACAAAUCUUGGGGUACUCUUUGAAGUUCUUUGUGUUGGAUUGAAUAUGAUGAAUUUGAAAUUGUUUGAUGCAUGUCAAAUAAUUAACCCACGGAUACUUGAGGUGAUGUUGGAGUAUCUAGGUGACAUUAGGGUUGAUUGGUGUGUGUCAUCGGUGUUAUUCUAGUACGAACUCUAGGGCUAUUUGUGAAACUUAUAGGAAUAGCCCAAUAGGUUGGUUGGGAAGAAUCUUUGAGGUGGUUCUACUACCUAAAUUUUGUUCAUCUUAAGUUCUCUAGUAUAUUUGAACUUUGGAGUGAUUCUUUGUUGCACGUUGAGGGAUGAUCAUAUCGUUCUAUUAUGUUAGCGUUGUUAAAAGAUUGCACUAGUGAAAGUAUGAACCCUAGGCCUUAUUUCUAGGCAUUGCAACACCAUUUAUGCUGACUUUUACUACUUGUUACUUUACUGUUUUUAUAUUUUCAUAUUAAAAAAACCUACAUCAACUAUCCAUACUACACUUGUAGCACCAUCUCUUCGCCAAACUAGUGCACCUAUACAAUUUACCAUUGUAUUGGAUGUGUUGGGGACACAAGAGAUUUCUUUUAUUUGCUAGCAGGGUUGUUUGAGAGUGAUCAUAUUCAUGCUACACCUCCCCCGAAUUGAUAAACCUUAGGUCAUCCACUUGAGGGAAAAUUGCUAUUGUCCUACAAAACUCUGCACUUGGGGGCCCAACACAGUCUACAAGAAUAAAGUUGUGUAGUAUACAUUAAGCUCUUUUCUGGCGCCGUUGCCGGGGAGGUGAGUGCUUGAAGGUAUAUCUUUAUAUAUUGCAAUUGAACCUUUUUGUCUUUUAUUUAGCACUAGUUUGGUUUAUAAAAAAAUUACAAAAAAUGGAAUUGAGGUGGCCUCAAAUGCUUCAUCUUUAUAAUGUAUUACGUGAAAAUGAUGGUUCAAAAAUUGUGCCAAAGUGUUAGAAGAAUUUAGUAAAAUGUUUAGAACUAAAUCCAUGGAUGAUGAGCAUGAUAUCAAUGUUGUUAGUAUAAAUUCUAUGAAUAUCCAUGAUGUUAGUGAUAUGCAAAGUCAAUAUCUUGGGGAUGCUAUGUNUAUCUAGGAUGAUUAUGGUGCUGACAUGUAUGCUAUAAAGAGUAGUGAUAACCAUGAAACUUUUCAUCAUGAUUUUAAUAUUCAAUGUGGUUAUGUCAAUCAAGUGUCUCAUGAUAGUUAUUUUGUUGAGUUUGCGCCCACUAUUAUGUAUGAAAAUUUUGCUUAUGGGGUAGGUAAUAAAUUUUCUAUGAUUGUGGAUCAUGAAGAUACUGAUUUAUGUGAUAGUUAUAUUUUUGAAUUCCUUCAUGAUGCUACUGAAAAUUAUUAUCAGGUAGGAACAUAUGCUUGUAUGUAUUGCAAUAAUAUCAAGUUCCCUCUCUAUGUGUUCAAAGUUUAGAAGUCAUGCUUGUUUUGUCUUCAUACGCAAGUUGAUUCUUCGUACAAUAAAUUGUUUUGUUGAUGAAUCCAUAUGCGUAGGAAGUGGGUUAGACUUAAAUGUGGUUGUCAUGUGUUCCAUGACGCUUUUUUGCAUGUUUCAAAUACUAUUCCUACGUGAGCAUCAUUGAAAUCAUCAUGCCUGGCUAAAAGGAAUUAAAGAAAAACGCUUGUUGGGAGACAACCCAACACUUAUAAUUUAUGUUUUUAUGUGUUCACAUGAUUAAGAUAUUGUAUUAGUUAUGUUUUAUGUCUUUUAUUUCAUUAAUGUGCCAAGUAAAGCCUUUGGGAUAGUGUGGAUACUUGUUGGUUUGAUUCUGUGCAAAAACAGAAACUUCUAUGUCCAGUAUAUGAAUUACGAGUUAAAAGUUCUGAAAUUUUUAUACAGUUUUAUAUGAAUAUUAUCAUUUUUUCCUAACUUUUCAGAAAUUUCAUAGAUAGGGAAGUAUCGUUUAAGUUUAGAGCUUUACAGAUUGUUCUGUUUUUGACUGAUUCUGUUUUGCUUUCAUAGUUUGCUUGUUUUAUUGUUUCCAUAGCUUAUAUUUAGUGAUAUAAAUUAUUGUAAUGAUAUAAUACAAUAGGUAUUAUGUGAUAACAAUUAUGAAUCUUGUCUUGGAAGCACCUAACCGAAUGGUCUAUCUUUAUUACACUAACCCAUCUCACGAAGUUCCGUUAAGUUUUGUGUGGUUGAAGUUUUUUCAAGUGUUGGGUGUGAUGUCGAUAUGAAGAGAAUAAGGAGCGGCAAGACCCUAAGCUUGGCAAUGCCCAAGUCACCCCAAGAUAAUAUCCAAGGAAUACUCAAGCGUCUAAGGUUGGGGAUGCCCCGGAAGGCAUCCCCUCCUUUGUCUUCAACACUAUGAGUAUAUCUUAGUUGAAAAUAUAUUUUAUUUGUCACAUAAUAUGUGUUUUUCUUGGAGCGUUCAUUUUUUGUUAAAAUUUUCUUUCUAUUAUUUAUAAUCAUUUUUAAUAAGAAGUUCCAAGAAUUGCCUUUAGAAUGCUUGAAUUGCAUGUGUGAUGUGUGUCGUAUAAAAACAAAAACAUUUGUUGUAGUAUUUGAAUUAUGAGAUUUUACUAGAACGUGGAAAUUUUCAGAAUUUUUUACACAGUAAUUUCAUACAAAUUAUUCAGAAUUUCCAAAAUUUUCAGAAUUUUUGGAUUUACAUAAGUAUAUUUUAAAAUUAAUUUCUAUAGACUAUGUUGUUCGGACAAAUUGCUGUCAUAGUUUUUUAUCUACUUAUCCUAGAGUUUUAAUUGCUUAUAUUGAUAGGUAUAAAUUGUGGAGAUGAUAGAAUACAUUACCUAAUGUUUGAAAACUAUUAUGAAAAUUGUCUUGGCAGUACAUAAAGUGUUGAUUUAUUCUUAUGUGUACUAACCUAUCUCAUGAGUUCUUUUCGAGUUUUGUGUGGAUGAAGUUUUGGAUACCUAGAUGACACUGGGAUAUGAGAGGAUUGGAAGAGAUACAAAAGUUCAAGCUUGGGGAUGCCUAAAGCACCCCCCAAGUAAAUAUUUCAAUAAGUCUCAAGCAUCUAAGCUUGGGGAUGCUACGCAUCCGACCUCUCUUCGUAAACAACUAUCAGUUAGCCUAUGUUAAUCCUAAGUUUUUAUUCGUUCACAUGAUAUGUGUUAUUAUUAGAGUGUAUUUUUUGUUUUAUUUGUUGUUUGAAACAAAUCUACGAUCUAAAAAUCUUUAUUGAGAGAGAGCCCUCACAUAGCUAUUUGAUUGUUUAACUACUCAUUAAUCUUCACUUAUAUCUUUUUGAGAGUAGUUUGAUGUUCACUCUUAUGCUUCACUUAUAGCCUAAGAGAAAAUGUUGAAAUAAAUGAAUGUCAUAAAUGUGAAAUUAUAUAUGCUUCAUAUGCUUGUGCCAUAAGGAGUAAUGAAUUCACACACUAGACGUAUAAGCUUUAAAAUUUAUUGAAAGUUGGCAAACAUAGCAUUGAUCACUUGAACAAUUCAUGAAAGAAUAUUGUAGGAAUAGAGAAUUCACAUAUAAAUAUACUAUCUUGUACAUAUUCUAUGAUUGUGAGCCCCCAUUAAUUAUUUUCAAACUUGAUCAAGUAGUUGAUGUUGGACAAGGAAGACGACGUAAUGGUUAUUUUUGUCUAUAUUCGCAUAGAAGUUAUGUUGUCAUGGAUCCUCUAACAUGUGGUGCUUGCUUAGGAUCUUUUUCUAGCCAAAAAUUCAUACUAAGUAGAGACAUUACUCGUGCAUAAUAAAACCCUCAAACCCAGUUUCUUUACAUGAGAUUCCACCAUAUCUACCUACCGAUUGAAUAAGAUCCUUCAAGUAAGUUAUCAUCGAUGCGAAAAAGUAAUAAAAAUUGCUCCUAAAUAUGUAUGAUCUUUUAUUGGAAGGGAAAUAAGAUUUGUACGAACUUGUGAUGGUGAAAAAUUAAUAACAUCAGACUACACAAUAAAGGUUGCUAUCACAAGGGGCAAUAUAAUGUGAUUUUCCUUUCCAUUAAGAUUUUGCACAUCCAAAAACAAAAAGCUCAUGGCAACCUCUACUUCCCUCUGCGAAGGGACUAUCUUUUACUUUCAUGUAUUUACUUUUUUGUAUUUAAUUUUAUGCAAGAGUCAAUAAUGUUCAUCCCUAUUCAAAUCUACCAAUUCUUUAGUUGGCAAGCAUCAUGUGGUGGGGAAAUAUGCACGCACAAAUAUCUAGUUGAAUAUAGGUGAUCAUGAUUCAUUGUCAUUGACAUUAUCCAUGAGAUAAAUAAGUUGGGAGGUGAAACAUUAAGCCCCUAUCUUCCUAAAUGUUUGACUGAAAAUGUAUUUUCUAAAAAAAUAUGCUUUGAAUGUCAGCAAUCAUGGAAGAUUAAAUGAUAGUUGACUAUGUGGAAUUUGCUAAAUCAAAGCUCUUACAUAUACCCUUCGUGAAAAUUUUACGAAUUGUAAUUGUUUGAUGAGUAAGAACAUAGUUUGUUGGGAUAAUUAGAUUUAAGCCCCUAGUUGUGUCCCACUUGGCUGCUUUACCCCUAAUUUCCAAAAGUCACCGGUUCUCUCCAAGUCACUUCGCUCCUCUUAUGCUUUUGGCCUUUGACCGUUUGACCGUUAGUUUGAAAACUUCAUAUCUAAUCCAUACUAAAUCAAAAAAAUGCAAAUAAGAUGCCAAAAUGUUCAGAAAAGCAUCACCUAUAUGUCAGUGUCAUUUGCAUUCAUGACAAAGGUGUUGGAAAGUGCACAUCCGAGUUUUAGCUCUUAUGAUACCAUCAUGAAUAGUAAAAUAUAAAAAAAUCAAAAAAUUCUAAAAAAAUAUUUGGUGGCAAAGAAUGACAAAUGUUUUAAGUGCUUGCCAAGUUUCAUCACNAGUGCUUAUUGUUUAUUUUGCCACGACUUCCACGAAUGUCGUUCGCUGAUGACAUUUGGCAAGCACUUAAAACAUUUAUCAUUCUUUGCCACCAACUUUUUUUUAGAUUUUUAGAUUUUUUUAGAUUUUACUAUUCAUGGUGGUAUCAUAAGAGCUAAAACUCGGAUGGUCACUUUCCAACACCUUUGUCAUGAAUGCAAAUGACAUUGACAUAUAGGUGAUGUUUUUCCGAACAUUUUGGUAUCUUAUUUGCAUUUUUUGGAUUUAGUAUGAAUUAGUUAUGAGUUUUUCAAAUUGACGGUCAAACGGUCAAAUGGCAAAAGCAUAAGAGGAGCAAAGUGACUUGGACAGAACCGGUGACUUCUGGAAAUUAGGGGUAAAACAACCCAGUGGGACACAACUAGGGGCAUAAAUCUAAUUAUCCCUAGUUUGUUGGUUUUCAAUAAAAUUUAUGGUCUAUACUUUAACAUGUGAAUAGCUUGCUACUUGAUCAUGAGAAGUUAUAUGACAAAAGAGUUGCUAUUUAUGAUGCUAGAAAAGGUGAUUGGAAUUAUCAUUGAUCAAACUUAUAUACUAUGAUAGCAUUCACACUUCAUAAAUUACUUAUUUUAUCAUUAUGUACUCGAGGACGAGCAUGAAUUAAGCUUGGGGAUGUUGAUACGUUUCCAAUGUAUUGAUAAGUUAUGAAGUAUUCAUGACAUACUUACCAAUGUUCACAAUAUUUUAUAUGGUUUUGAUGCACCUUAUAUGAUUCAAUUAGAACUAACCAGGACUGACAUUGUUUUCAGCAACACUACCAUGGUGUUGUUUUUUUUGCAGAAAUAAAAGUUCUAGGAAUUGCUCAAUUUUUUUGAUGAUAUGUUCAGGGGCAAAUAAGAAAUAAGAGAGCAAAGAAUCACCAGAGAGGGGGUGCACCUAUUUGUGCCAAGCCAACAGGGCACGCCCACCCCCCUUGACGCGUCCUGAUGGCUUGGGACCACCUCGUGGCUCCGUUUGACAUGAUUCCAACACCAAAAAAAUUAAUAAAUGCAGAAACCCCUAGAAGUUAACCUAGAACUUACGCUCCUCUGUCGCAAGCCUCUGUAUCAAAUAAAACCUUAAUCCGGAGACAUGUUGUGGCAUCGUGUCGGAGGGGGGUCAAUCAUCACCGAAGGGCAUCUUCAUCAUCCUCACGGUCUUCAUGAUGAAGAGGGAGUAGUUCACCCUCGAGGCCGAGGGUAUGCACCAGUAGCUAUGUGUUUGAUCUCUCUCUCUCUCUCUCUCGUAUGGUGUUUGUCCCUUGCUAUCUGAUGUGAUUAAUUGAAUCUUUCCCUUUGAGAUGUUGUUAUGUCAGAUUGAAUAUUGGAUUUUAGAUCACUUGAUGUAUGUCCUGCAUGUGGAUAGUUGUGGUGACAAUGGGGUGUUCUAUUGAUUCACUUGAUAUAUGUUUUGAUACUCAACUUGCGGAUUCCCGUGGUGACAAUGGGGUAAUCUAUGUGUAUGGGUUGAUACACGUUAUUGUCCUACUUUCUGCAAUAGAAAUCUUGGGGGUACUCUUUGAAGUUCUUUGUGUUGGAUUGGAUAUGAUGAAUCUGAAAUUGUUUGAUGCAUGUCAAAUAAUUAACCCACGCAUACUUGAGGUGACAUUGGAGUAUCUAGGUGACAUUAGGGUUGAUUGAUGUGUAUCAUAUGUGUUAUUCUAGUACGUACUCUAGGGUCGUUUGUGACAGUUAUAAGAACAGCCCAAUAGAUUGAUCACAAAUAAUAGCUUUGAGGUGGUUCUACUAGCUACAACAAUUUCAUCUUAUGUUCACCAGUAGAUAUGAACUUUGGAGUGUUUCUUUAUUGCAUGUUGAGGGAUGAUCAUAUAAUUCUAUUAUGUUAGCAUUGUUGAGAGAUUGACUAGUGAAAGUAUGAACCCUAGGCCUUAUUUCUAAGCAUUGCAACACCUUUAUGCUGACUUUUACUACUUGUUAUCUUGCUAUUUUUAUAUUUCCAAAUUACAGAAACCUAUAUCUACUAUCCAUACUACACUUGUACCACCAUCUCUUUGCCGAACUAGUGCACAUAUACAAUUUACCAUUUUAUUGGGCAUGUUGGGGACACAAAAUAUUUCUUGUAUUUGAUUGCAGGUUUGUUUGAGACAGACCAUCUUCAUCCUACACCUCCCAUGGAUUGAUAAACCUUAGGUCAUCCACUUGAGGGAAAAUUGCUACCGUCCUACAAAACUGUGCGCUUGGAGGCCCAACAAAGUCUACAAGGUAAAAUUUGUGUAGUAGACAUAAGUCAACCUUCAUGUUUACUCCAUGCUCAAUCCUGGUGUCUUAAAGUCCAUAUUGAACCCUUCACUUCACUUCACUUCAUUGCUUCAAGACAUGAUCACUAAUUUCUCAAUUGUCUCAUGGCCAUAUUAGGUUUCUUCAUGAAUAUAAUAUGGAAAAAGUCCAUUUUAAGCCCUGAAUUCGUAGAGGUGUGGAGGAAUGAACCCCCAAGUCAAAAUCCCUAUCGAUUGUACCCUGAACUAUGCAAUCCCGGUCUAAAUUAAACCUUCGGGUCAUUUUCCAAACACGGAUUGUCGACAUGGCACACGAUGACCGGGAUUGGGCCGGCCCAGUUUACGGAAGCGCGUGAUGCGUGUUGUUCCUUUAGGUUGUUUCUUUUUGUUUUUUCCUUUCGUUUUUCCCUUUUUCUUUUCUAGUUCUUUUUCCUUCCGUUUUUAUUUUUAUUUUUUAUUUUUUGGUUCUUUUUUCCUUUCAUUUAAAUUUAUCUUUUUGUUUUCCUUUUUUAGUUCUUUUUUCCUUUCAUUUAAAUUUAUCCUUUUUCCAUUUUUAUUUUCUAGUUCUUUUUCCCUUUCAUUUUAAAUUUAUUCUUUUUUCUUUUAUUUUUUGGUUUAUUUUUUUCCUUUUGUUUUUCUUUGUUUUUCUUGUUCUUUUUUCCUUGUGUUUUUGUUUUUUGUUUUUCUCGUUCUUUUUUCCNUUUAUGUCGGGACCCCGAUCCUAAGCCAUAGGAAUCCAGCCUGUAACACAUCACAUCUCUUUGCGGUCUCACGCACGGUUAUCCCUAUGGCUGCAACCUUACCUUAGCCGGGACCGUUUGCGUCUUUUGACUCGCGUAUGCAAUUGUGUCGCUAGCAUUCCAAUGUCAAAGAACCCGGAUCGACAUGUCUAGUCAUAAACUUAAGUGGCAGUUCCGUACAGGGACAUGCAUACAUGACCCAGCAAAGCAGGUGUCGAUCAACAACGAGUGUAGACGAGUCGUAGCAAGCUACAAGGACUCCAUUACACCGCGUGACAUUUCCGCAAAGGGACACACACAUCAGCUAAGAAGGACACAUGUCGGUCAACCAAUGUGUCCGGAGCAGUAGCACACUACCGUGGCUUGGUGGAAACACAAAGGGGCAUUUCCCCGUAAGGAGUGCUACUAAGGCAUACGACUAGGUGUUCGAACCCCAUACAUAUCAAGUACAACACACGUACGCAUGGCAUACUGCUACUGCAACAAAAGACCUUCCAACGGCGCCAGAAACGUGCUACGGCACCAGGAAUCCGUCUGCUACGGCUACGCCUUAAGGGACUUCCUAGGCAAAUAUGCAAAGGAUUUCCCCCGUGGCAUUGGAGCCUUGCGUUGGUGUUCCCUCGAAGCGGAAAGGCUGAUGUAGCGCAACGGUGGUAAGUAUUUCCCUCAGUUUGAGAACCAAGGUAUCGAUCCAGUGAAGGAGUAUCACAAGUGCCUGCACAAACACAAAAAUCUUGCUCCCAACGCUAUGAAGGGGUUGUCAAUCCCUUAUAGAUUGUUCGCCAAGUGAGAACUGAAAGCAACAAAGUAACAAAGCAAAGUAAAAGCGAAAGUGGAAACGAUAGGUGUGAAUAGACCCGGGGGCCGUAGUGUUUACUAGUGGCUUCUCUCAUGAAAGCAAGUAGACGGUGGGUGAACAAAUUACUGUCGAGCAAUUGAUAGAACCGCGCAAAGUCAUGACGUCAUCUAUGACAAUGAUUAUAUGUAUAGGCAUCACGUCCAAAACAAUUAGACCGAUACUUUCUGCAUCUACUACUAUUACUCCACACGUCGACCGCUAUCCAGCAUGCAUCUAGUGUAUUAAGUCCAAAAGAACAGAGUAACGCCUUAAGCAAGAUGACAUGAUGUAGAUGGACAAUCUCAUAUCUACGACAAAGCCCACCUUGUUACCCUUGAUGGCAACUACACGAUGUGUGCCUUGCUGCCCCUACUGUCACUGGGAAAGGUCACCACACGGUAAGAACCCAAAACCAAGCACUUCUCCCAUUGCAAGAAUCAUAGAUCUAGUUGGCCAAACAAAACCCAAGACUCGGAGAGACUUACAAGGAUAUAAAAUCAUGCAUAUAAGAAAUCAGCAAAGACUCAAAUAUAUAUAUCAUAGAUAAUCUGAUCACAAAUCCACAAUUCAUCGGAUCUCGACAAACACACCGCCAAAGAGGAUUACAUCGGAUAGAUCUCCAUGAAGAUCCUGGAGAACUUUGUAUUGAAGAUCCAAGAGAGAGAAGAAGCCAUCUAGCUACUAACUACGGACCCGUAGGUCUGAAGUGAACUACUCACAAGUCAUUGGAGGGGCGAUGAUGUUGAUGUAGAAUCCCUCCAACUCCAAAGUCCCCUCUGGCAGGGCACUGGGAAGGGUCUCCAGAUGAGAUCUCGCGGAAACGGAAGCUUGCGGCGGCGAAAAAGUAUUUUCGUGGAUCCCUUGAUUUUUUUUCUGUAUUUUAGGGAAUAUAUAGGCGAAGGAGCUAGGUCCGGGGGCGCCAGGGAGGCCACAAGCCUGCUAGCCGCCGCCCCCUGGUGGCGGAUAGGGGGCUUGUGGGCCCCUGUAGCCCUCCUGGCUUGGCCCUCAAGCCCCCUGAUCUUCUUCCGGUCGGGAAAAAUUUAUUUCGGGGAUUUUAUUCCGUUUGGACUCCGUUCCAAAAUCAGAUCUGAAAAGAGCCAAAAACAUAGAAAAAACAGGAACUCGCACUUGGCACUGAAUUAAUAAGUUAGUCCCGAAAAAGAUAUAAAAGGUACAUAAAACAUCCAAAGAUGACAAGAUAACAACAUGAAACCAUAAAAAAUUAUAGAUACGUUUGAGACGUAUCACAUACGAUAUGCAUAGAUACAUCGAUGGCACCACAACAUAACCAUAAACAUACAAACUUUAUUUAGAAGGCUCGGAAGAACCUCACAAUAAUAUUACGCAUAUAGGGGUCUCACGGCCCAUCAUCACAAGUCAUUCAAACAAGUAUUACAAGCCAGCGGAAGAUUAAAACUGUCUGAGUACACACAUAUGGAAAGGUAAAGGCACAUGGCCUUACUAUCUACAGACCCAACCUAGGGGCAGAUCGUAGCUGGGACACCAGCUACUCGUCGUCGUCAACGUCUAGAUAGAACCCUCCAUUAGGGUCAUUAACAACCUCUGCAAAAAUUUAUUAAGCAAACAUGAGUACAAAAGUACUCAGCAAGACUUUAGGAUAAUCUAUCUACUCAUGCAAUGUAUCAACAAGGAGAUGUGGGGUUUCAUGCAGAAAGCCAGCAUUUGACUCUUGGCUAGACAAACUUGCAUUUUCAAAUAGCUUUGACAACUUUGUUUUCUCGCACACGAGUCCAAUAACACCACAACAAUACUCCAUCGUGGAAUCAUUCCGUCUCCCUACGGAAAUGCCAUCCACGACACUCACACUUAUCUUGACAUUUUUAUGAGUAGCCAUUAUAGUUGUGUAUGAACAACAUAUGUUUCCAAGUAGUCCAUAUCCGCGGACGCGGCUAUUCGAAUAGAUCAUAACCCUGCAGGGGUGUACUUCUUCACACACGCUCUCGCCACUUAUCGCCAUGUGCAUGUCAUGCACCUCGCAACCUUCAAGCGGAAGCCCAGCGAGGGAGUCGGCCAUGACCGUUAACACUCUAAUACCUAGUCCAGGUUUAUCGCCUAUCUCAGGGUAACCCGAACGGAAGUCCGGCCGAGGUUUCGCCACGGCCCCAAACGAUGUGCGCAGGGUUCCCAAGCCCACCAUCGGGGUGCCACUUGGUACACCGUGCCACUGCCUACCGCAUCAUAGCCCACCUCUAAGGUCAGCGCUACGCACGGCCUCCAGCAUGACUAUAAACACCAGAAACUACUUGCAACUCUUGGACCGAGUACUAAGCGAUUAAUAAGUCGAGCGGGGUCAUAUUUCAGGGCCCAGCAUGUGGUAGUAUCUUGUCUUGGAUUACAUACACGGAACUCAGUUCCUAAGGACGGUUCCGAUGAAACAACCCGCCAUGUACUCCUACAUAGCCUUUCACCGGUACCUUUACCAAAUCAGGUUCAACACACAACAUUUAUUAACUGAACACAUUCUCACGAUCCUGUUCACCAUCCAGAUGACAGACCAUACACAACUCUAAGAAUAGCAUGCAUAGAAGGAUAAGGCACAUCAGAGUUCAAGCAUCUACCAGGUAUGCUAGGUUGCAAGGUUCAACUAUUUACUGUGACAAGGACAGGUCAUGCAAAGGAAGUGGGUUCAACUAACGUGGUAAAAGCAUUGAAAACAUUUUGACCUAAUGCAAUAAGUAAGAGGAGGAGCGAGAACAUGGGAUUUAUCGGGAUGAUCAAAAUGGUUGCUUGCCUUGUUGCUCAGCAGAGGGGUGAUAUCCGUCAGUCGGAUAUUCAGUCGAAUCCGGAGGGGUGGAGCCUACCAGAAUAACAACAACAAUGAAUAACACUCAUAUGCAACAAUAUGAUGCAUGAGCAUGGCAUGAAAAGUAAUGUAGCAUGAGCUAAUGUGAUUGCCAAAUCUUUGGUUUGGUGUUGGUUUGAAUUCAAAUUCAAAUUCCAACUGAAAUGAUUUAUUUAUUAACUUCCUUUAAUUGAUUUGACCUGAUGCUGUUUUAUAACUUUGUUUUUCAUGCAUGAAUGUAGCACCAUUGUGUUCAUUGAAUUUUUCUGAUCAAUUUACAUAUAUUAUCUGUCUGAUUUGGAGUUAUAUUCAAUUUUCUAUGAAUUUCCAAAGUUUUGAACCUAUUCUGAAUUAUUUUUAAAUAGAAAAAGGUUUUAUUGCAUCAGCAUGACAUCAGCAGGUCAGCUGGCCAUUGAAAGUCAAACCUGACGAGUCGGACCCACUGGUUAGUGACUCUGGCUAGUUUCUAGUUUAAGUUUAACUUAAAUAGUUAAUUACCAGGACUGGACCCACAUGUGAGUGACUGUUUAGGGUUUAAUAAAUUCUUUAUUUUUAUUUUUAUUAAACUUAAUCGGUUUGAAGGUGGCCCCACAUGUCAGUGACUCUGAGGGGCUCAGAUCCACCGGCGGUGAGGUGGAACUCGCCGACGGUGAGCUCCGGCGACCAUAGAGACGGCGGAGGGGCUCGGGUUUCCUAUUCCGGUGACCAAACGUACGGCAGAAGGGCUCAUUCGAUCAGCCACUCGAUCGCGAGCAGAAAGGAACAAGCCACAGGGGCUGAGAUAACCGGAAUCGACGCCGGCGACGAGCUCGGCGGCUGCCGGAGCUCGGCCAUCGUCGAGGUCAUCGAAACAAAGGGCAUUUCGUGUGGGGCUGGGAUCCUAGACCAUCUACGCGACGACCUAGAGCCAUUGCAGACCUCGGGUGGACCAACCGGUCACCGUAGGGUCACCGGCGAUGAGCUACCGCGGCGGUCCUCGUCGGGCUCCGGUGAAACUAGGCCUAGAGCUCGAAAUCGAGAGGGGAAACAAGGGGGAAAGCACCCUGAUCUCACAGGGAGUGCAGAGACGUCGAAAGCGGGCUCGGGGAUGGCCUGAAGAGGGAGAACGGCGGUGGUGAAUGUCGGCGAUCCGAGGAAGAAGACGACGACAUUGAGGUGAUGCAGGGCUCGAGAGCUUGCGUGACUUGCUGGAGAGCUUCAGAAGUUCUAGGUGGUUCUUUAGCACGGCUCAGAAGAGAGGGAGAGGAGUUGGAGCGACGGCGAGCUCGAGCUCGGCUCGGGCUCUAAUGGCGGCCGAGAGGAAGAGGGGAGAGAGACCGAAUGGGGAGAGGAUGAGGUCGGGAAUGGAUCCCGGAGAACUUAUCCCUCCUCUCCAACGCAUCAGGGAGGUCCAGGCACGUGCACAGGUGCGUGGCCGCGCCAGAACGAGCGGCGGCCAUCUCGUGCUGCUCGCUGGCACGAGGUAGACGACAUGAGAAAAGGUGGGCUGGG
rnacentral:lncRNA from 1 species